rnacentral:lncRNA from 1 species
AAAACUUCAAUAUGGUUCACCAUUCCCCACGAUAAUUUUCUAGGAAAGAUAUCAGGAUCAAAGUAAUUAACACUUUACCAUUGGAUAUGACAAAUAGUAUUUUAACAUAAAGGCUAACCAAUAAUUAGAUACUUCAAAAAGGUAAUAAGAUCAAAACACAUCCAACUUUAAAGUGACAUAUAAAUAGCAGAAGCAACUGCAAACCUAAGAGCACACAUAUAUGCUGGCAUAACCAGCAAUCAAAUUUCCCUAUUUUCAUAUCACUAAUAAUUAGCCGUCUGAUGACACAGAAAAUACAACAAUCAAUAAGGAAUCAAAAAAGCAUAUUUAAUAUGGUUAUUUACAGGUAUAUGAACUGAUAAAGAAGGAAAGAGAAAGACAAUCUAUUUAUAUAUACUGGAUCUAUAUACAUAAAAUAAUGCAAUUGUAAAUUAAAACUCACAAGAAUAAUUUUAGUUUCAUCCAACUCUCUCUGAAUUUUCAACAACUUAUCAGCCUCCGCAGGAUCCUGAAGAUUUCAAAGAGAACAGAAUAAAAAGUAUUUUGGGUUAUAAAUGACCAUAGCUUGAACCAUUAAGAAGAAAGGAACAAAUAAAAUUGAAAUAGUUUAUGAUGCAAAAAAAAUUAAUUGUACCUAUAUGCAGCCUUAUGACGCAACAAACAAAAUGAGAAAAAUGUGGAGAAAUACCUGAAAUUUGGCUAGUGCUUCAUUCAAAUAGGGCCAUGGUUGAGUGUUAUCUGCUUGUACAGUCCUCCACGAAUCACCAAAAUUCUUCUGAUACUCAUCUAUCACCUGUCAGGCAUACAAACUUAUCAUUUGCACAUGGAAUCAAGCAGAUGCCAACUAUCAUCUACAAUUUUCUAUCACAAAAUAAAACCUCUAUCCUAACCAUGCUAAAUCUUGGGAUGCAAAUAACUUCCAAGCAUCAAGCAAUUUAGAACUCAAAAAAUCAGCAAACACAGUGCCUCAGUAUUUUAAGUAUCAACAAGUUGAUUAGUCAUUGAAGCUCACUUGUGUUUCUAGUAUAAAAGUAAAAUAUAUAUGCAAAUUAGGUUAUAAUCUGAUGGUCCUCAAAAAAACUAAAGUAUCCCACCUCCCUCUCUCCAAAUCUUGGCACCACAUAAUUAUAAGAUCGUGACAGAAUGGAACCUCAGCCAACAAAGAAUGCAGUGGACUUUAAUUGGCCUUCUCCACAUCCACCCACAUAUAUCCACCAUCAACAUGAUAGUUUCGCAACAUAUGAUUAUGGAAUCAGGAUAGAGUGGCAUCUUGAUCUUAAAUGGCCUUCUCAGCUUGAAUAUGCCUCUUAUUUGAGUUAUUUCUCCCUUCCCUGCCCAUCCCCCAUUACCCCCCCUCCUCCCUCCAUCCCUCCUACUGGUGGAUUACAAUAAAACUGACCCUUUCCCUUUAGCAACUAUAACCAUGUCCAAAGUUGGCAUGACAUGCCAUGAAUAGGAUAUUUACCUGAAAUUUUAGAAACCUAAGUUCUUCUCACACUCAGCUAGAUAACAAGAGCAUCACAUCAAAAAGCAUGAUGUGAAGAAAUUAUUUAUAAUGCUUACAACAAUAGUGUCUUAGAAUUCGAUAACAAAUUAUAUAUAAAAUUUCAAACUCUCAAGACUCAAACAAGAAAUCGAUUUUCAUAGUUGAAUAUUUCCUUUGUUUUUUUUUUUGAUAAGUAUAGUUGAAUAUUUCCUUUGUUGGCUAUAGCAAUUGGAAAAUAUAUACUUGUUUCACAGAAAACUUGAUCUUUAUUUUUAUUAAUCAGCAAACAAGAGGUGAUUGACCUUCACAAGUCCACUUUUGCUCAUUGACUUUUUAUGUUACAAGAUUGGGAAGGGAAUAUGAGCAUAUUCUUCUUGUCAUCUCAGGUAGCUUUUCUAUGAAAUCUUUCUUAAUUUUUGUUGACAAGAUUCAUUCCUUGCAAAAGUUUUUGGCAAAUCUCCAAUGCCUUCCAAAGUUGCUUUAGUUUCCCACAGGUUGCACACUUUGGAUAUGCAAAUACCUUUACAAAAAAUGACUUGUUUUUCAAGGAAUGGAAUAUAGACAUGUUCAGCCCAUCUUAACUUGCACCACAACCACAUACGAUGCUCACUCAAAAACUUUAAUUCUAUGUUUAAACCCACAAGAUUGGAAAAAAAAUAGGCCAGAAGAUGAAAUGAGUGAGAAAUGGAUUCAAGCCACUCCAAACCUACCUCUGAAACUAGUUACCAUUGCAAAUGAAUCAUAUCAGUGAUCAUCUUUCCAAAUUUAGAUAUGGUUGACUUAAAACAAAAGAAAUAAAGUAUGCCAGAUCAAUUAUCUGAAAUUUCUUUUGAAAAAAACAAAGACAGUAAAGCCAUAAAAAUUGGGUUUACCUGGUUGAGCAAGGAAAAUGCGCUUCGAACAGGAUAGUGGUCAUCCAUAAAACCCAGUGCACAAAGACCAUUUCUGUUGUAAGAAUGCACUUUAUAUUCUAUAUAAAAGCCACCAAAGAAUAUUCAGCAUUUACAAAAGAAAACAUCUUCACAAUAACAUAUCAAAACAUACAAAAGACUUUCCACAGGAAACAAAACUCCAGUGCCUACAAUUUAUAAUCAAUUCAAUUCUAAGAUAGCCAAUUAUGUUUUCUCAUAAAAAAUAAAAUAAAAUGAAGAAAUAUAACAUUUCCAAACCUAGUCGAAUCCAAAUCUCACCAGAUGAGAAAAUUAAAAGCCCUAUCAAUAGCUAUAAGAUAACAGAAUAUUUGAAACAAUCGAUUGCUUUUUAAAUGAUCCAAAUCAUUCAACCUAUAUUGGACGAUCCGUGAGAGAAAACUUCACGCCCAUAUUUUAAAAGAAAAAAAAAAGAAAAAGAAAAAGAAAAAGCCCAAAAUUCACCCAAUAUAAUGUUUUCGAUUACACGAAAUCUCAAAAAUAUACAAAAAAAAAAAAAAAAAAAUUGACCUAUUCGUCCCCUGGUUCAUCGGAUUUAAGCUCCGAUCGCUGACCAACAAAUCGAGGGAACAAAAAAAAGCAGAGGAAAACGAAACCAAACUUCAUAUCUUUUCCAGUUAAAACGAGGAAAAAAAUUAAAAUUUUGAAAUUGUCGUUUUCAUUUGAUUUCCUAUAAGUUUGAUUUCUCGGUAACCAAACAGACAGAAUUAUGCAAAAUAAAGGAGCUGGAACCCUGAUUUAAGGGGAGAGAAGGAACCUUCGUGUUGGACGGAUUGGCGUUGAGAGGGAGGAGUCCUUUUGGCAACUGUCCGACCCACGAAAACGAUAAAUUCCUUGACGCUGGAUCUCUGAAAGUACCCGAAAUGGCCGACAUCGGAUGCGUUCGCCAGGAUUAUCGCGUCGGAUCCAUCCGGAUUGCAUUUCAAAACCAGAAGUGCCGUGAUCUUCAUCUUUAUCUCUCUUUCUCUCUCUAAAAAAACCCUCCCCCUCUCUCUCUCUCACUAUUGUUUCUGUAGGCUUUCGUACGUGUUGAUCCCAGUAGAAGAAAAUGCGGAGUUGUUAUCCGCUGUGAUGGGGAGUAUUUGAAGGUCUUGCAGCUGCUCCCCUGCAGCAAUCACGCUCUGCCGACAUCCAAGUUUUAUUGCCAAACAUAUUCGGCACGCAUCCACUUUGGAAUAUGUGUAAUUUGUUUUCAUUUCUACUUUUAAUUAAAAUUAAAACAUAGACAUAUUUUCAAAAAUUAAUUUUAGAAAAUAAAUAUUUUCUUACAAAUAAAAAAAAAUAGAUAUUAUAAACAUUUUCACCGGCUUAUCAUUUUCAAUCUAAAUAAAUAUCAUAGAGUACUUUUGGGACUGAUUAAAAAAAAGACAAAAGUUUUUAAUAUUUUUAAUAUUUAAAUAAUAAAAAAUUUCAAGUGUUAUAAAUAUUAAAAGCUUUUCUUAAAAUUAUUGUCAAAUAGGUAAUUAGAUAGUGAUUCUAAAAAAUAUUUUUAAUAUUUCUAACACUUAAAAUGUUUUAUCUUUUAUAUUUUAAAAAGUCUAAAAACACUUUUUAGAAUCAUCUUUAAACAAGUAGUAAUUUUAUGAAGUAUUUUUAAUACUUAAAAUUUUUUAUUUUUUAAAUAUUAAAAAUGUUAAAAUUCUUAUUAGAAUUACUGUCAAACACACUCUUAGGAUGUGUAUGACGUUUUUAAUAAAUAAAAAAAAUUCUUUGAAAGUGUUUUUAGAAAAAUUGUUUCUCUAGAAAACACUACAAAUAAUUUUUCAAAUUUCAAAAUGUUUUAUAAAAUUUAUCAAACACCUUUUUUUUUUUUCCAAAACAAUGUGUAGACUAAAAGCACUUCUUAGAAUAACAAUUAAAUGAGCUUUUUAUCCUAUUACAAGUUUUUAUUUAUAUCAUAACUUAACUUUAAAACAUUUUUUCAAGUAAGGUUAAUUUUACAUUAUACCCAAAUGUCAAAAGGUUUUAUAGUUAAAUUAAAAUACAAAAGGACAAUGGUGAAUUUUUUACUUUUUUUUUUUACAAUUUAUCCAUAUAUUUUAAAAUUUUGUUAUAUAAGUAUUAAACAUUUUUUUUUUGGUUUGUAGAAAAUAAUAAACAAAAAUAUAUCAAGUGAUGCUUUAAUGUGUUAAGUAUUUAUAAAAGAUAAAAUAUGGUGAAAAAUAAUUUCUAUUAAAAAAAAUAUAUAAGAACAUAGUUUUAUACCAUUUUACUGGACGAUAAAUUUAAAAUAAGGUAAAAAUUCUAUGCAACAAGCACAAAGACCAAAUCAUUUGGAAAAUAUUUAUUUUUGAAAACAUAAAAAUCAUUUUAAUAGAACAGUGUGAAAAUUAUAUGCAAGAAUUAGCUUUUAUUACUCUUGAGUAAUACCAAAGUUAAGGAAACAUUAAUAAUAGACUAUGUCACUCCUUAAAUGAAUAAUUAAUAAAUUUAACGUUUCAAGUUACAACCAUAUAAUAAAAGACAUAAUAUGAUUUUUAAAGAAUAUAAGUGGAAUUAAAGAGAGUUUUUUUUUUUUUUAAAGGUUUUUGGUUAGAUGAGAAAUUGGGUUGGAGGGAGAUGCUCAUAAUAGGAGUUAGGGGGUUUCAAAAAACCGUUGGUGUAUUAGCGGUUUGAGUUGUCUACUUCCCUCAAAAACACACAAAAAUGGCUGAAUGUCUGGAAAAUAGGAACCAACCCAGCUAUUAAUAUGACAAAUGUUUGGGAGUUAUUCACCAUUAACCUUCUCCCUUAACUCGCUUUUCCCCUACUCUCUCUCUCUUCCAUUACAUUCCCUUGAGGGUUUCUUGCUUAUGUGAAACUUGAAAGGGAAUGAAAUUUUCUCCUUUCUAGUCCAUAUUUUUUUCCUGUAAGUUCAACUGGGUGGCCUUUCUUCUUCCUUUUUUUUUAAUUUUCUUUUCAAUCCAUUAAUAUUGAAGCAAGUUCUUCCUAUGUUUUACUUUGUUUUUCUUGUUCUUGCUUUCAUUUUUUCCCUUUCAAGUCUGGGUUCCAUGUUGUGGUUUUCUGAUUUUUACCUUAAUCAAUGGUUGUGUUUGAAAUUUUGACAGGAUUAGAAGAAAAUGAUCAGGUGUUUAGUUCUUUUCUCCUUGUUGAUCCUCUCAACUUCAGCCCAGAAAACUUCCUCACAAACAUGGCAGACUUUAAAUGGUAUGAAACAGCCACGGAUCCCCACUAUUAUUGAAAGAAGUUGAAGGUUACAAUAUAAGUUUUACUGUUACAUAUCAGUGCUUCUCUUCAUGUUUGGAAUGUCUACUUGCCUGCAGGUGAUGAGCCUGUUGUUAUAGCCCGUGGCGGAUUCUCGGGACUUUUCCCUGAAUCUAGCCAAUUUGCACAUCAAAUUGCGCUUUCCACCAGCCUGUCCAAUGUAAUUUUGUACUGCAACCUGCAACUGACAAAGGAUAGCGUUGGCAUAUGCCAGACAGAUAUAAGACUUGAUAAUUCAACAAAUAUAGCAGCUGUCUUUCCAAAAUCCCAAAAAACCUACACAAUUAAUGGAGAAAAUGUUCAGGGUUGGUUCGCUUUGGAUUAUACAUCUGAUCAGCUCUUUAACAAUGUAACAUGUAAGUCUUGGGAUGAUGCCUCUUUUUCUUUACAUGAAGCCUUUGGUUGGCAAUGGUAGCAAUGACUGAGGGGCCUGAAAGUGACUGUUUUCUCUUCCUUGUUUUGUUCUUUUCCCUCAGUGACUCAAAGCAUAUACUCCCGGCCAAGUUUGUUUGAUGGCACGCUGCCAUUAUCUACUGUUGAUGAUGCAAUUGGGAUCAAACCCCCUGGCUUUUGGUUGAAUGUUCAGGUAUCUGUGCCUAUUUUCUAGUUCUUUCUCAGAAAUGAGAGAGAUGUGUAGAGAAAUAUAUAUUGUUUUCUAGGCACAGGCAUUGGUAUUUUUCUGAUUCAUUUCUUUGGUGUUACUCUGCUCUUUCUUGUAGUAUGAUGCAUUCUAUGCUGCAAACAAACUCAGUGUAUCAUCAUACAUUCAAAAGACUACAAGAUUUAUGGGCAUAAGUUACAUUUCAUCUCCUGAGAUAGGUUUCUUGAAGAACAUGAAUAAAAUCAUAAACAAGGCCAAGACCAAACUCAUCUUCCGGUUCCUAGAUGCAGACGCAGUCGAACCCACAACCAAACAACCAUAUAGUUCAAUAUUAAAGGAUCUUUCCUCAAUCAAGUCAAUUGCAUCGGGAAUUCUUGUCCCUAAAGAAUAUAUAUGGCCUCUUAGUAAGGACCAGUAUCUGCUAACUCCCUCUAGUGUUGUAGCCGAUGCUCAUAAACAAGGCCUAGAAGUAUAUGCUUCUGGAUUCGCAAAUGAUAUGCCUGGAAGUUACAACUAUAGUUAUGACCCAACAGCUGAGUACCUGCAGUUUGUCGAUAAUUCAGAUUUUUCUGUUGAUGGAGUGCUCACAGAUUUCCCUCCCACAGCAUCAGAAGCCAUUGGUGAGACCAUCUCACUCUAUUCACCGAAAAAAUUAUAAUAGUGUAUGAUCCACAUGUUAUGGGUUUAUUCUUACCAUGGAUUCUCUUUCUUGUGCAGCAUGCUUAGCACACAACAAGAAUGCUACCAGGCCUAGCAAAGGUAAGAUAUGAAAUCACAAUCUUCUUUAUCAUAAUAAGUAGGAAGAAUAAAAAAUCGAUCUAAGGGGGCAAAUGCUAUUGUUUCUUGCCAUAAUCCUAUAAGUUUUCAGGGAAAAUUUUGGUCAUAUCUCACAAUGGAGCAAGUGGGGUUUACCCUGGCAGUACUGAUCUUGCAUACCAGCAAGCAGUAGAUGAUGGGGCUGAUAUAAUAGAUUGCUCAGUCCAAAUGUCAAAAGAUGGAGUUGCCUUCUGCUUAAAUUCAGCUGACCUCUUGGGGAGUUCUAAUGCCAUGACUUCUUUCAUGUCUCGAUCUACCAUGGUCUCUGAAAUUCAACCGAAGAGUGGAAUUUUUUCGUUUGAUCUCACAUGGAGCGAGAUUCAAACACUGACGCGUAAACUUCUUAAAACAUUCUUCUACAUGUUCACACAUGGGUUCUGAAGUCUGAUAGAGCUAUAUCUCUCUCAUUUCAGCUCAACUAACAAGUCCACUCCCAAAUAGUGGCUUGGCAAGAAACCCAGCAAACAAGAACCAGGGGAAAUUCAUAACUCUCUCUGAUUUCCUGGACUUUGCUAAGGCCAAGGCAGUUUCUGGAAUUUUGAUCGACAUAGAGGUAGUAAGCAAUUUAAAUUUGCUAAUUCCCACUGUCUCUACAUAUCUACUUUCAUCCUGAAUUCGAACACCCACUCUUUCUCCUCAGAAUGCUGCCUACCUAGCAUCGAAGAAGGGUCUUAGCAUAAUAGAUGCUGUGACAGCUGCCUUGAGCAAUGCCACCUUUGACAAACAAGCAACCCAACAAGUCAUGAUACAAUCCGACGACACUUCAGUGCUGUCCAAGUUCAAGAAUGUCCCAGGUUACAAGCGAGUUCUAUCCAUCAAGGAAAUUAUAGGUGAUGUACCCAAGCAGACAGUGGAGGAGAUAAAAAAAUUUGCUGAUGCAGUCAACCUCCCAAGAUCGUCCAUUGUCACAACUAAUGGUGGCUUCACUACAACUUUUACCACUGUUGUUGAUGAACUCCAUGCUGCAAAUAUCUCAGCAUAUGUCUCAGUUCUCAGGAAUGAAUACGUCGCCAUCGCAUUCGAUUUCUUCUCAGACCCGGUUGUGGAGCUUGCUACUUACGUUGGUCGCCUUGGAAUUGAUGGGGUUGUGACUGACUAUCCAAAAACUGCAGACGCAUAUCUCAGUAAGCCCAUCACAUACCCAACUGUCUGACAUUAGCUUAAUCCGGUUCCUAACAGUUGAAAAAACUUGCAGGAAGCCCCUGCUCGGAUUUGAAUGCGAAAGUGGCAUAUUCCAUAUUGCCAGCAGAGGCGGGUGCAUUACUUGGGUUGGCAGAGCCGGAAGUGUUGCCGCCAGCAGAAGCCCCGGGGCCACCGCUCACAGUCGACGACGUUGUAGACCCACCACUGCCACAAGUAUCAUCAUCAAAUGGCUCAACAGCCGAUCCGGCUGCUGGACCUGUUAAAGCCCCUCCACGUUCAAGUGGUCGGGCAAAUGCUGCCAAUAUGGGUCUCCAUCUAUUGGGAAUUCUGCUGAUUAGCUUACUUUCUGCGGGAUAUUAAAUUUUAUUGACCUUCCCAUGGACUUUUAUCUACAUUCUUUUCCUAUUGAAGUGGAAAAUGUAAAUUUUAUUUUAGAACUAAUUGUCACAUCCUUUACAAAUUCAUUUCAUACUUGUACCUAAAAAACUUAUUUGUGAUUGGUUUUUAGUUUUUACACAUUCUCCUACUUGCUUUCUCAUAUCCAUCAGUCAAUGUUGUUCUGAAUUUUACCUUUUUUAAAAAUUUUGGAAAAGCUUGCUUCAUACCCACAAAAUUCCUGUCCAUGAGUUGGUCAUCCAAGGUCAUUUUAUUUUCCUAUCCGCAUUUUCUCAUCAACCAAAUAGGGCACACCCAAUCUUUGGCACCCAUAAAGAAAGAGGGAGAAUGGGAAGGAUGAGGCUCAGAUUCGGCCGGAAUCAGACAAAGAAAAGGUCCCCGCCGUGGCUGCAACCACAGUUGCCAAUGGAGGCCAUCCGGGUUGCCUCGCCCAAGCACGGGGUUAUUGUUCUUCAGUGCCUGAUUUUACUCGUGCAAACAUCAUCACUGCCUCUUUUUAAAGAGAGAAACAAGAGAGGAGGAAAAGAAGAGUGGGUGUAGAAGGGCCGUUGUUGAUUUUGGUGUCAAAGAAAUCAUGGGCUCCGGUGAUCUGAUUGGAUCAGUUUCAGAGAGGGGCAACGACCCUUCGCAAACUCCCCAGCCCUCUGAAAUCUCUGAGCCUCAUUCUUCGGUAGUUGACUUCAGUCAUGACUCUUCUUGCUACUUCAAUUUAUACCGAUGCCCUAGACUCUUGAAAUUUUCCAUUUUUUUUUUAUUUUAAUUAGAGCUUUAAUUCAGAGGGGUUGGGCUGAGUUUGCGUCUAACUCGGGCCCAACCAAAAUUAAUAAACCCGAACCAGAACCCAAUCAGUAACCUAAAAUGUUCAACCUAAACCCAAACGUAUACCCUGAAUUUUCCCUCAAUAGUAUAAAACUUGUAUACUCGUACAUGCAUCUUCCUCUAUUCAUUUGAGUUGAUACAGGUUCUUAGGCAAUGUGCAAGGAUUGGUGGGAGAGAAAAUGGCAAAAUGCAGAAAAAUAAAAAGAAAAAUCAUGAUAUUUCAAAACGAUGUUGGUUUUGGUGUGUUCGAUAUCGAAGGUCAACAAAAAGAAGCACAUUGUCAAAUGGUCCAUGGAAAGGUGAUGUUGAUUUUGGUUUGUCAAACCGACAUUGAAUUAAUGACCACAGCCCCCCAUGUUUGAUUGAUCAAAGUUGAAGGGAAGCACAUUGCUGAAAUGCUCUAUUGCCUCAAUUUGAUAACAAAGCGACAAUCCAAAGCGACACCAUUUCUGAUAGGGAAGCCACUAUUCCUAGCUUAUAAAUAUGAAAAUGAGCAAUUAUGUUAAGGACACUUACUUUUUGAAACAAGACGAGGGGAAACUUUGUUGAAUUAUUCAACACAAAAAUAAGAAUAAGAACUGUAAUUGAGAAACUUGAGUCCCAAGCACUAGCCUCCCUUAACAUCAAACGUGGGCAUUUAGGUAUAAACACUUGCCAUCUUCUUUAGUUCUUGCAUUUUGGCUUUGUAAUGUGAGUACGGUAAACAUUUGUGUAUAGACCUUUAUAUAUUGUAGUAAGUCAUUGGUGAUGUGUGAUGAAUCAAUUUUAGGAUUUGAAGUGAAGGCCAUGAAAUUAGAAAACCCACUUUUGGAGAAGUGAAUCCAUGGUUUCCAAUGUUUUAUUUACUUCAUUUUCACAUGUCUACUACCAUUUUUGUAUUAUUUGGCUUUUAAUGAGGGUAGGAACAGUUUGAAAUAGAGAAAAAUAACCUCAAGUUUUGAAUUUUGAUAUCAUGUCUUUUCUUUUUUUUUUUUUUUUAAUUUAAGGGUCUUUUGGUUGUUUUUAAAAACUAUUUUAAAAAACAUUUUUUGAGAAUAGUUUUUAAAAAGAUUUUUUAUAUUUUCAACAAAAAAAAAAAAAAUGUAUUUGAAAACUAUAUUAUGUGAAAAAAAUUUUGUUCUCAAAAACAAAAAAACACAUGUUUGAUUGAGUUAAAUAUAAAAGUUUUUUAGAAUAAGUAAAAGCAAAAAAAUAUUUGAAAGUUAUUUUUUAAUUAAUAAAAUAUUUUAUUCCAUAAUAUUAUAAAUAAUUUUCAUAUACACAAUUCAUUUAAAUUAAAAAAAGUGUUUCAUUUUAAAAUUUUUACAUAAAUUAUAAUUUUUUUAAAGAAAGGAUUUUUAUAACUAUACAUAAAUAUAUUAAUCUCAAUAAUUUAAAGAAGAAGAAAGGGCUUAAAAAGGCUAAUGGAUGAGGGUGUGAUAAUCAUGUGAAAGUCACCUUUGUGAAAAAUUUAAAAAUAGCUAAAACAACACAAAAAAAAUAUAUAAAUAUAAAAAACAAUUUAUUCUUUAAACAGUAAAAAAGUAUCAUAUUAUUAUUCUAAAAAAAUGAUUUUUGAGAACACAAAAAAACAAAAACACAACCCUACCCAAAUAAGUUUUUUAUGUUUUUGGUUUUAAGAUCAAAAACAAUUCUUUAAAACAGGAACCAAACAACCCUAACCCUUUUCAUGUUUUUUUAAAGAAUAACUCAUUUUUUCCCUAAAUGUCUUGAUUAUUUUAAAUAUUUACAUACAUAUUAAAAAACAAAAAAUAUUGAAGACAUUAUUUUAUCAAAAUGAGACCAAAAACUAAUGAAAGAUUAGAUUUUAAAAAUUAGAUUUUCAAUCACUCUUAAUUAAAAAAACACAAUUUAAAAAAAAUUAAAAAGAUUAAAUCAUUCUUCACAUAAUUAUUAAAAAAUAAAAAGAUAUCAAUUAUGCUUUGUGGGACCAAGCAUCAUGACUCAUCUUCUUUGGGCCUCCCGCUACUUUAAUCCUACACAGAUGACACAUUUUUAUUAAGAUCCAGAUCCUAUUAUCAUGGACCGGGCAAUGGAGGCUCAGAUCCGGCCGUAAUCAGACGAGCUGCUGGGACGCCAUGGCUGCAACUACGGUUGCCUGUAAAAUGAAACCCAUUUCACAGAUCACCCGGGUUGCCCCGCCAAGAAACGAGCCCUUCAUAAUCUCUGAUUUACUUGGAAAGUAUCAUCAUAGCCCCUCGAUUUAUUUACUUGGAAACAGAUCCAGGACCCUUUCAAGGACCCUAAAUACAUCCAACCAAACAAUAAUAAAUAAAUAAAUAAAUAAAGAUGGACAUCACGGGUCCAGGGAGGGCUCAGAUCCGCCCGUAAUCAGACAAGAUCCAUGUUCGCCAUGGCUGCAACUACAGUUGCAUGUGAAAAAACAGGGCAUAGAAACCCAUUUCACAGACAAUCCGGGUCGCCCAGCCAAGAGAUGGGUCCUUUCAAAUGUCUGAUUUACUUGGAAAGUGUCAUCACAGCCACUUAAUUUUCCUGCACAUUUUCUCAGCAACCAAACAGAUACAAGAUCCUUCUCAGAAAACACAUUUUAAAACACAAACAAAAAAACCAAAACAAAACAAAGAUCAGCCUCAGCGCGGAAGUGAAUAGCGCGUAAAAGGAAGGCUCAGAUUCGCCUUUUAUCAGACAAGAAAAAGAUGACCGUCAUGGUUGCAACCACAGUUGCUUGUGAAACAAGGCACAAAAGGUCCCAUCACACAAACCAUCCGGGUUGCCCCGCCAAGAAACGGACAUUCCCAGUGCCUGACUUACUCUGAAAACGUCAUCACAGCCUUUUAUGUUGCCCAUAUGAACAGAGAGAGAGAGAGAGCUGUUGAUUUUCCAGAGAAUCAAGACAGCCUCUGAUAUAUAUGUAUAUAUAUAUAUAUAUAUAUAUAUAUAUAUAUGUACACACAUGUGCAUGAAAAGAAAGGAAAGAAAAGAAAGAGCCAAGGAAAAGGGCUGUUGACGGGCGUAGUAGAAGGAAUCAUCGGCUCCGACGACCAUGAGAUUCAGAGAGGGGCAACCACCCUUAGAAACUCCCCAUCCCUCCGACACAGUCCCUGGAGCCUCACUCACACACGUGUAUGAAAAGAAAGAGCGAAGGAAAAGGGCUGUUGAUGGGCGUAGUAGAAGGAAUCAUCGGCUCCGACGACCAUGAGAUUCAGAGAGGGGCAACCACCCUUAGAAACUCCCCAUCCCUCCGACACAGUCCCUGGAGCCUCAGUCUUAAACCAAUGGGGUUUAGCCCUAAGAUGUUAUUUGGUAAUCUGAUCAUGAUUUGCAGGCAAAGGUUGUGUUUUUCAGCCUGGCUCAAAAAUUGUGGAUUUAAGGUUCGUGAAAUUUAAAUCCAAUGGCACAAAAGCAAAGAGACCCCUAGAACAGAUCCAGAAAACACAGGGAGCCAAAAAAAAAAAAAAAACGCAAUUUUUUUGGUUUUCCUUGGGGGUUUUGCAUGAAUUUUCUCGGAAAUCAAACAAGGAUGAAUUUUCCCGGAAAUCGAAUGGGGGAUGGAUUUUCUUGGAAAUCAAACGGGGGUUGCAAAAACAAAAAAUAAUAACAUGAUUAGAUUAGUACCUGCGAGGAUUGAGAGUGGCAGAGGAAAAUAGGGCUUUUUAAGGGAUUCUCUCGUCCGGAGGGCAAGUUCAGAAAAGGGCUUCUUGAUGCCCCAGUGAGAGAAGUGGAUGGCCCUUUCCAUUUUUAUAUUUAGUAGAGAGAGAAAACAAGGAAACAAAUCAUGAGAACAAUUAUUCUCUCUAUAUAAAUAAUUAUUAAUUAUCCAUCUUUAUUUUGAUUAAAUCACUACCAAAAUUUGAUUUUUAUAAAUUAAAAUUAAUUUGAUAAGAUAAAUUAUUAAUAAUUUUAAUUAUUUAAAUAAAUUAAUGUUAAUAAAAAAAAGUUAUUACCACAUAUUUUUAAUAAAAUCUUAAAAAUUAAAUAUCAAAUAAAAUAUUUUAUAUAAAUUAAUUUAAUUUUUCAUUUAAAAUGUAAUAAUACAUGUUUUAAUAAAAAUAUUUAAUUUUUUAAAAUAAAUAUUAUCUUCAAUAAGAUGGACUCCUUUCAUCUAAUAAUAUGAUACUAAAGACUAUUAUAAUAUCAUAUAUAUUAUAUUUAUAUAUAAAUUAUUUUUAUUCUAUAAAAUCAAAUAUUUCUUAACUCAAUUCUAACUUUAUACACUUUCAAAAUUCAUAUUUAUUAUUCUUAAAAUUCAAAUACCGAAUCUACUAAUAUUUUCUAUUUAAUCAUAUUUAUGUCAAUUAUAUUUACAAAAUAACUUUAUAAUAUAUAUUAUUGUUAUUUUCCUUUUUUUUUUUUAAGUUUUUCCAAACAUUCUUAUAAAUUUUAAAUAAUUUUUGCUCGACCGAUAUCCGUUUACCGAUCUUUACUCUGUAUCUAUCCAAAAUAAAUGAAAGAUAGUUUUUUACAACAAUUUUUUUAAUGAUUUUUAAAUCAAAAGUUAGUUUUAAAAUCUGAAAUAUUUUUAAUCCACUAUUAUGUUUUUAAAAUUAUAUAAUUAUUUUUUAAAACAAUAAAAACAAAUAAAAUAAUUAAGGUUAUGUUUAGUUUAUUAAAAAAAAUGUUUUAUCAUAUUUGAUUUAAUAGUGAAAAUAAAAAUAUAAUAAUAAUUAAAAUUACUUAAAAACCAAUGUAGCUUUAAAAUUUUUUUUUUGAUCUUUAGCUUAAAAAAGAAAAAUAAAUAAAACGAAUUUGACAAGAUAAUUAAUCUCUCUGAAAGGAAGAGACUCAAAAGUUUUGGAGGAAGAAAAAAAGGGAGUAAGAUUUGAGGGAUAAAAAUAAAGAAGGAACAAGUGGGUGGGUAUUGCAUUAUAUCCAUGAGUUGAUCAAUAACUAGCUCCAUUUCCUUUCCUUUAUUUUCUUGCCAGCCAAACAAAAUCUUAAGUCUGGAACCAUCAUCCCAGAAACCAUUUAUUAAAAGCCAUACGCCAAGGAUUCGUAUAACACCAUGGAAUCAACCAUCAUCACCCUCUCAAACCUACAUGCCAUAGCUACACAGACUCUACUCCCAAGUUCCCAAAUAACCAAGCUUCAUAUCUACUAGCUCCAAAAUGGUUAAACAAGAUGAAAGAAGGAAAGGAAGAGAUUACUUGAUGAGAGCCUGGUAAAGGCAGAUCUGCAAAAAUUACAAGCCUUGUCCACAUAGCUUUAUGUGGUCCCAUGGUAUCUAUUUAUAGCCCCAUGAAAGCAGAAUUACUUCUUCAUUACCAAAUGUCAGCAUAGGCAAUGCCCGACCUCCAUCUUCCCAUGGCUGCCAAGCCCUUUUAUCAAUAUGUGAAGAUGCAAACCAAAAUGGUUAGCCCAUCAUCCAAAGCUAGCUCCUCCUCCUUAUUUACACCUAACGGUUUCCCUGAUUCACAACAAGUUCAAUUUCCUUGCUCGACAUCUUUCAGAUAGAACAGAACAAUUACGAUUACAAUCACAAAAUGUAACACCACCCCACAUCUUCCUCUGUUUAUCUAAGCAUUACAAGACCUCAAAGUUGAUGUUCCAUCAUCAUAAUAGGCAUGGUGUAUUUCCAGUCUCAAACAAGUUAAGGUUCCAUCCUAACACCAUAAUGGUGGGUUGUUUUACUUCAGACAACGAAUCUGAGUCAGUUAACAGGCAAAAAGAAACAUUCAAUAGUUCAAGAAGAUCACUUAGAAUUUUCUGAAAACCUCAAAACCGUUUUCAUUUAUAAUUACAAACCAACCCAAAAAUUGAACAAUACGAGGCACUGGGCUGAACAAUCACCUCAGAACUCUGGUAAAAAAGAUGAAGGUUUCUAUAGAUAAAAUGGCCUUUGCAAAUAAAGCAAUGAGAAAAAUGGGAUAUAAAUUAAGGAAUGAUAGAAUGAAAAUGUUGAAAGGAAUUGCACAUGGCUUCAAAGAAUGAAUAGAUUUGGUACCCUUGCCGAGAAAUUACAUGGCUGCCUUGCCCCUCUGUUGAAGUACUACAUCAUGCACAACUUCCCCUGCUGAGUUAACAAAGUAGGUUUCCUGCCAUGGAAAAAGAACAUUUGUUGGUGCUUCAACAAGAACAAAUUUAGUAAAAAAAGACGAAUACUCACAAUCUCUAAGGAGCUGACUCUAUGAAGAAGGAACCCAUUAACCAUUCCCCUGAGGAAACAAAGAAAAAAAUUUCAUAUGUAUGAACCAAUGUAGAACACCAUUAGGAACUAUGAACAGAAAUACUCACUUACUAAAACCUGAUAUUUGAUUUACAGAAGCAAGAGGAAGUUUUUCAUCAAUUGAACCUGGGUUCCUGAUGUAGGCUAUACUAUCUUUACGAGCAUAGUCACUACAUCCCUCCCCACUCAGGUACACAUCCUGAUGAGCAAAUGCAUGGAUAAAGCGUUACUUUCUUCAUAGGCACCAGAAAGAUUCCAAAUUUGACAUAUCAGAAAGUUGUUCAUUCAAUUCAUUAGGAACUGUCUUAGAUUUUCAUAUAUAUUGAAAAUUUUGGACUUUGAUCAUCUCAAAAGCAAGUUCUCUAAAGAACCCAAAAUCAAAACCUUGGGCAUGGGAUGUCUUCACCCAUUGAUACUCAAUGGGGAGAGCCAUAAAUACUUACCACUCCAAACUUAUAAAAAAUAUGGUGUAGAUGCUCAUAAAGUUGUAUUUCUAUUCGUUCCCUGUUUCCUUCACAAACAGCCAAUGAGCAGAAACCAACAACUAUGCGCCUGGAUCAUAAGGAGGAAAAAAGGAGACAAUUAGUACUUGGGAAUUGGGAUGGAUAGUUUCUUUAUUAAGUUAAAUAUGGAGUUGAAAUGGUAGGGGUGCUUGGCAAUGGCAAUAGGACAGCAAACAAUGAAGGUCCAACAUAGUAACCAGAGAAAACAAAAGGAAAACGAAUGUUUUAACUCAACAAUUUGGGUUAAGGCAAAAUUUAAAUGAAAACCAGAAUUUUAUUGUUGAAAGAAAGAAAAUUUGUGAAAUAAAAUUAAGUUGAGAAGUAGAUUAUCACGCAUCAGAACCACUCUGAACUGACAUGAUUUUCAAAUUUUUCAAAAUUUUCCAGGCAUUACAACCUUGCUUAUUCCUAGGUUCAUGCAAUUAUAAACAGCCAAUAUGGUGCAAUGUAACCUUACCAGUCGCUAUCUGAUGUUUCUAGUGUCUUUGUCAGCCCAUGUAAUUGAUCAUUUCCAGCACCAUUUAACGGAUUCAUAAGCAUAAAAUCCUUCAAGUUUCAAAGAGGAGACCAAUUAAGAGGAAAGAAGAAUGAAAUGCGGCAUAAAGGAGCAGAAACCAAAAAACAGAAACAAAUGGGGGAUAAAAUGUGUGAUAAAUACAUCUAUGGGAUAUUGAUAGUGUAACUAAAUGAAAUAGAUAUCAAAUCAAUCAUAUACACAUAUAAAUACAACACAGAAAUAAGCAUGGCCAUGGUGAAAAAGGGCUGCAAUGUGGGUUGUAACCAGAGAAUGGAAUAUGGACAAGGAGCAUAAAAAAUGAUUUGGCAGGCCAAGAAAUGGCUAUUUUAAUAUGAUGAAAAAGAAAAAGAACAAAAAAAAUUCAUUAUGAACAUGACUUGAAGAGUACACCUACGCUCAAAUAAUGACCAAGUGAUCAACUUUAAAAUCACAUUGCUAACCUCAGCCCUACCCCUCAUGGAAAAAUGGAAAAAAUAAAUAAAAAGAAAAAAAAUUCUUAGAAGGCCUUGAGAAGGGUAAACCUGCUGGGACUCAAACCCGGAACCACCCCACAUCCCCACCCUCAACCCAAGCUACUCGAGCCACGCCUCAAGGGUGAUAAAGAUCUAACCUUCAGCAUUGAAUAAAAAAUAAGCUAAAUGUGCAAAAAAUAUCCAGUAUUUUCUCAUGCAUUUUAAUUGCUUACUAGACUAGAUAGAAUCUCCAGUCAUUGAUGAGAACAAAGAACUCAGUGUCUUUAUUAUUAUUAUUGAAUAAAAAAUAAUCUAAAUGUGCAAAAAUAUCCAGUAUUUUCUCAUGCAUUUUAAUUGCUUGCUAGACUAGAUAGAAUCUCCAGUCAUUGGUAAAAUUCAAUAAUUCCAAUUUCCACCAGUUGAUUUGUCAAGUCCCUAAUUAAAUAAUGAAAGAUAAAAUACUUUGAUGAGUUAUAUACUAAAAUAUUUGUGCUUCCCAAUCUAAUUCUAACAAGAACCCUACAAAAUGCACACCUUAAUCCAACUCAACCAACACUCAAUCUUGCGAUUGCCUCAUAGUCCACAAGGUACAUCGGAGAGACCUAACUUAUCUUGAUGUUACAAGAUUUCACAUGAACAUCUGAAUACAUCUCCUGGGGCAUGGUAAAGAUGAAUAUAAAAACAAAAUGAAAUCAAUACAAGAAGUUGAUAGCCCCUCUAUGAUCAUAACUGGGGUCAGCACAAUCAGUAACAUAAGAUUCAUGGCGUAGUAUCGCAUUCCAAACAAUAAAAUAUUGAAGUGUAUCAUAAACUCAACACAAGCAUAUGCAAUGUCAAUUAUCAUUAAGUCAACAAUGAUAUUAAACAUUGGUAUAAACAAUUGAAACAAUGACAACACAAAAGGAAAAAACCUUAUACAACUAUUAAUCUAUCCUCUUUGGAAGUCUUUUAUCAUCUUCCACAAAUUUCCCAUUUUCCUCCAUAUGCUGCACAAAAUCCGACCCCAUAUUUUUUGUAUCUUUGUCAUCAUUAAAGGAAAUAAAUGCAUGCAACUUUUAAAGAUUUGAGGCCAUGUGAAAAACUUGUCAUUUGAUGUCAAGUUUUUUUAUAUGAAAAAGUUUUCCAAAAUGAGAAUGGCAGAACUAUCAAUCUAUCUUCAUCUAGGUUUGGAGCUUCUUGAGUCUUUUAUCAAUUAUCAUCCACCAUAAAAUUCCAGUUUUCUUCUGUAAAUUGCUCAACCUCCAACAUAAUUUUUAAUUUUUUUUCUAAUUAAGAUUAAAUACAUGCAUAUUUUGAAGAUUAAGCCAUGUGGAGAAUUGUCAAUCAAUCGUAAGUUUUUCCUAUAUCAAAAGCAUUUUUUAAAAUUUUCGGCCUUGUUGGAAAAAAGACCUAAUGAGAUGGGUUUGUAUCACAAAACACUAAGGAUUGACUCAAAAGUCCCAAUGAAAUUAUAGCUACUGUAAAAACCAUGUAACCGCUUUCAAGCUUAAACCCAUAUUACAAGAGGAUGGUGGAAGAGGCCUCUCUUCUGACUGACAUAAUAACCAUGAGAAGUAUUAGCCAACAAAUCUUAAAUUGAGCAAAUUCAACAAACCAGUUGAUACCUUAAAUGCCCCAGUAUCCAAACUAAUAAUGUCUAAGGUCUUCCCAAAAGGUAUUUUGAUCUGCUUUAGGAAGUAACCUGUUCCUUGUCCUCUUGAAACUCUGGUACUGUACCUACAAGAAUUACAAUUCAGGAUUACCACACAAAGAGACUAAACCAAAAAGACUGUUACAUUAAAAACUACAUUGGAGUCCAAGUUUUGUAACAAUGAAAUUUCAAAAGAUGAGCUACAAAAAUGACACAACUGAUUGCAAAGUGGAUGGCAUACCAGGGAACUUUCAGUGUUGAAAAACGCCAAGUACCCUGUAAAAGAAGAUGUCAUCUUCUAAGAUUGUUCCUAACAGAUGAAACCAAUGAAACCUAAUUAAACUCAGCAGUAAUUUAUUUUCUAAUCACACACCUAUAAAGCAAAACAAAAUAAAACUACAGAAUUAAAUAUGAACCACUAUUCCAUUACUCCAACCAAAGCAUGGUUUCUAUUAUUUCAGUUAAAUUCACAAAAAGUUAGGAGAGAAUCAUUUCUACAACUUACCCAGAGUGAAGCAAUGCAUAACUUUGAUUAAAUUUGGCUAAACUAUGACAACUAAAGCUUCCAUAUAAAUGGAGUGUAAGCCUGAAGGUGCCACAAGAAAGUUCAUAUAACAAAUAGUAAAAGGGCUUCCCACAUUGAAUUUACUAGCCAUGGUCUUACAUUCUGUGUGAGUGGAUCGUCUUCCCCAAGUUCACUAAUGUUUAUCACAAACCUUGCCUCAUAAGUCUUUGCCGCCUUCUCCAUCUUCAUGGGAAAAAACAAUUCAAAUUAGAACAGGGAAAAUAGAAUAUAAACUCAAAAUGCUAUUAAUGUUAGUAGACGAUAAUCAUUUAAUGCAACUAAGUUCAAUAACAGAGGGGGGAAAUAACAAAGCCUAAAAACAGAGAAGGUGGAAGGCAGAAGUAACUUGGAUGAAUUAGAACCAAGAAGACAAGACAAGAUCAAAACCAACAGAUGAGAAGGCUGACACAAACAAUUGAGAGAGAUCAAAAACUGAACCAUAUAAUAAAAAACUCACUCACAUGAUUAUUCUUUGGCCAAAAGAUAAAGGUUAUGUUUGGUUCCAAAAAGUACCAAGGAAAGAAAAAAAUACUAAGAAAUAUUAUUAUGUUGCAUAUACAAUUAAAAACGGAAAAAGAAAGAUCUUCUAGGGUUCAACAACUGUCAUAUUAAAAAAAUAAUAAAAAUAAAAUUUCGAUCCCAGUAAAACCUAACACAAAAUUCUUUCCUCAAAGCAAAAUCAUUCACAUAGAAAGUAAUUGAGAAAGAAAUAAUAAACUGUUUGGUUGCUGAGAAAAUGGAGACAUAGAAAAGGAAAUCAAAAUUUUGAAACUCUAUUAUUUCCAUUAUUUGAAGGCCUGGAAGAAAGAGGGAAAAAAACUUCCACUCUUACCUUAAUUUAGGUUGUUUUGUCAAUUUCGAGAGGGGAAAAAACAGGAAAUUAAUUUCAAGCGAUUUCACUUUCAGCAUUCUCAGCAACCAAACGGAGCGUCUGAUAAAACUAUCAUAUCCACCAACAGAGCCAAAACCAAAUAUACCCACCAUCAACAUCUUAAAACAAAAUCCAUAUAGAACGAGAAAAACCCAUGCUUUUCUUCAAUGAACAAAAGGAAUCAAUAGAGAGGAUGAGAAAUAGACCUGUUUGAGAAGAUGGGUUUGUUGAUUAAGAGGUCUAAAUCCUCCUCUAACACUGAUAAAGUAAAGGUCAAGAGGCCUGCUACUGCCACUGCUGCUGUGGGACAUGGGCUUCUCCCAAGGCCGACCCAAGUUGAAUGCAAGCAAGACAGCCAAGCAGAGAGACAACUGUGUUAUAACAGUGCGAACCCAUGAAGGUUUCCCCAUUGUUAACACAGGUCUCACAGCCUCAGCUAUUCAACUGGUAAUUGAUUUCACUCAUAGAUCUGAAGAUAUAUGAGGAACGUAACCGCCGUCACCCGUAUCUCUAAUCUCCUCAAUGUUAUCUGUAGGGACCCCUCCCACACGUGGCACACAUUUUCAUCCGAGUUAAUCUCAUCCGGAUUUCCCCAAGAGUACACGUGGUGCGCUUCUCCUAUCCGGACUCCCUCAAGAAGAGGCACACGACACUCACAAACAUAACAUCCAGAUGACUGCCACAGCGCAUCCGGACGACCGACAUACACUAUCCGGGUAUAUAUAUCCGGAUCAUUGAUUGAAGUAAGCAAGUCUUACACGUUAUUACAACAACCUGUCAUGGCCCACGUUCCGCCACCUGUAGGGUGAAAGGACAAGAAUGAAGUGACGGCAAGUCACUUCCUGCGAUCACUUCCCACGAUUUCUGACAGUCGCAGCAACUACCACGAUCUCUAUCAGCCGCCUAUAGGGUGAUGAUGGCCCUGCCACCACCUAGUGUCAUCAUGACAACACAAAAUAUCUCCCUACCAUUAAAGAGAGAAACAAAGCUUCUGAUAUUAUAUAUAUGAACCUUCACACAAGGAGUAAGGUAAGCUUGCUAUACCUAGUAAAAUGCCAACUGAUUUAUCUCUCUCUAACCAUGGCUGACAAAACCAUCGGAGGGUGCGUCCGGACACCCUGUCCGGACGCCUUUUGCAGGUAGUACGAUUGAAUCAAGAAUCUAUAUUAGUUGAGAUCGUGCAUCCACCCAUUUGGCAACUAAGUGGAUCACCAGGGAUGCGACGCUUCAACAUUAUCAAUUGCUUGAUUAAGAUAUUCGCUAAUGAAGCUCCACUUGGCAGGCAGGACCCAUUAUUGAAGGGAAAUGCCUUUAUAGUUCGUUUAUAUUAUGGACUCUCGGACUAAAAUCGCUUUGUCAUAUUUGAAACUUUCCUCACAAACAAACGCACCAUCAGCCAUUAAACAUCAUAUUUCAGCAUUCUUUUUUUGCACAUUGUCACAUUCCUAUCUCCUAAUUUUCAAAAAUUAUUUUAAAUUUAAAAAUUGAGUUACCACUUCAAAAUAUAAACUUUUAAAAUAAAAUUAUGUACAUUUAAAUCCAUACUAAAUAUGUGUAUUUGCGUUUAUUGCCUUGUAAUAAUAUUUUAUUCUUUAUUAUUAUUAUAAUUUAGAUGAGUUGGUUCGAUCUAAUAUAAUAUUUGAACAAAUUUGGAUAUUUAUUUUUAAUAUUCCGAUUAGACUUUGGUUCAUUUUUUAAACCUCAUCUUAAUUUGGAUUUGACUUGGGAGAUACCUCUAAUGAAAAUUAAUAUGGUUCUCUUCAUACAUUCUAUUCUACUUUUCUUUUAAUAUCUUUGUUUAUUCUCUCGUAUUUUCUUAUUCUUAUUCUUUUAUUUCACAACAUGUUAUCAACAGAGUUAUGAAUAUAUAGAAAAAGAGAAGAAUACUUAAGGUAGAAAAGAAAAAGAGAAUAAUUCAUCUACAAAAUUUCUUAUAGAUAUGUAGUCUUAUUCUCUUCGAAUGAAAUAUGAAUAGUAUGCAUUGUAUUAUUAUAAUUUUUAUUUACUUUAUCUCAUAACCAGAAGUUAUGUGAAUCAUAUUUCAUAUAAUUACAUAUUUUAAUUAUUUAAUAACUAGAAAUUAUAUAGAAAGUUUUUUAUAACCAGAAGUUAUGAAAAAAUAUAUGUCCAAUCUUCAUAACUAGAUGUUAUGGAGUAAAUUACAAAAACACAAAUACGUAGUCGGAAGCUAUGCAUAAGAUCCCUAAUUACUUUUUAAUUGUAUUAUAUAUCUAAAAGUUAUAUAAAAUAACAUUAUAUGGCCAGAAGCUAUAUAAUGAAUAGUUCAUAACAUGAAGCUAUGUACAAAUCCAAAAUUACAAAUAUACGACCAGAAGCUAUGUAUAUAACUCAUAAUUAUUUGUUUUUAAUUAUAUAGUUGUGGACCCGCAAAUUUCACGUGCGCCCCCACUCGAUCGACGAGACUCGCUUUUUGUUGGUGAAAAAUUAAUUUUGGAAAAUUCAGAGUCACCACUUAUUUUAUUUUUAUUUUAAAGGGAAAAUAAAAUAAGAAAUAAAACUCUAAAAAAAAUGACUCCAUAAUUUUUGGAAAAGCGUGUCUUUGAAAAAAAACCCGAGUCUAAGUCCGGGGAUUAGGUUACUUAUUGGGUAGGUACCUCUAGGAGGUAGCAUCUUUCUAAGCCCUAAAGAAGUCUCUACUGACUAAAUUGGGGGUAAUAUAGCAAUUAAUUGAUUAAUUGGGGAUACCAAGAUAGGUUAAAGUGAUUUCAAAAAAUAACAUGCCAAAUAGGAUCAAAUUACCAUAAAAGAGAGUUAGGGUGCAUACUUGGACGACUUCUCAAGAGCUAUCAUAAAACAUGAAAGUUAGUAUUGAGAUACAUCACACAACACGCAUUUUAUCAAAGAUAAUCAAACAAUGAUCAAAUAUAUAUCAAGGCAAUCAAACAGGAUAGCAAGCAUGGACAUAGUACGCAACGACAAUCAUAUUCAUAGGGUUUAGAAAGUGGGUAUUAGGGAACGUACCUGGAUAGCAUUUAUAACUCCUAAUGCACUUCCUCAAGACAUGGGGGUUAGAUAAUAAAUAAUAAAUAGUAAAUCCUAGCAUGCUUAUCUAAUUAAUUAGCAAAAAUUAUCAGAAUACGGAAUAAUUAAUUAUCAUACAUAUCUUGUAUACAAUUCCUAAAAAGAAAAAUGUAAAUAUAAUUACAAUAAAUAGCAGGGUGGUAGUAAAAAUAAAUUUUGAAAAAGAUUUUCUUAUGUAGGGGUUUCACCAAUUCCCCAAAUUAAUAUACACAAAUUUAGCCUAAAAUUAUCCCAUUUAUUUGGGACCACAAGCUUUCAUUCGCGUUUUGUUCAAAACCAAAAUUUUUGUUGAAAAUUGAGAAAGAUGUGAACCGAUUAAGAUACGGUUGCAUAUUAUUUUUUAAAAAAAAGAAAAGAAAAGAGAUUUUGAUUCUAGAGGCUUUAAAUGAAUUUUAUAAAAAUAAAAUAAAAUCUUAAAAGGUUUUUUUGAGAAAAAGAGUUUUGCUUUAAAAUAAAAGAAAUUAACUUUUAAAAUAGCAAAAAUAGAAAACAAAAUAUCAAUCAAAACAAAAGGAAACAAAGAUCACAAAAUAAAGAUUUUAGAAAUUAUUGUCAAUUAAAGUGGUGAGAGUAAAGGCCAACCUUCAUGGGUUUCCAAUGGCCCUAAAAAAAAAAAAAAAAAAUUUGACCAACAAUUACUAAGGCAACAAAUUUAUGACUUCCUAAUCAAACAAACUAACAAAAUUAUCAUACAAAAACUAACAUUUAGAUUUCAAGAAACAUAUGAAUAACUAGAAUUAAAAAUGUAAACUUUACCUCACAGGAUCAAUUAAACUAAAGAAUUAAGAUUGAUAACACGUUCAAAUUAAAAAUAAACUAGAAUUUAAACUAAUCGGAAUUAAAACUAUAAACUUUACCUUACAAGACCAAUUAAACUGAUAGAUUUAAGAUCAAUAACUCAUUCAAAUUAAAAAUAAACUAAAAUUAAACUAAUUGGAAUUAAAAAUAUAAAUUUUACCUCACAAGAUCAAUUAAACUAAAGACUUAAGAUCAAUAACAUAUUCAAAUUAAAAAUAAACUAGAAUUAAACUAAUUGGAAUUAAAAAUAUAAAUUUUAUUUAAACUUUCAUGUAGAUUAAAAUAAACUAGCAUAGAACUAAUGAAUUGCAAUCAUAAAAGAGAGACAUUUAAUCUAAGAAAAAUAAAAGAUUGUUCGAAAUCGAGAUUUAAAAGAAUUUAUCACAAACAAUUAAUUAAACCAAUCAACAAAAACCCAAACUAAAAAAAAAAGAAAUAAGAAAUAAUGUAUCAAAAACCGAAAACUAACCUGUAUUGUAUCGGAAAAAUACUCUCUUGAUGUGUCAAAAUGACAGCCCAAUUAGUCUUUCAAGUCCUCUGCCAUUCCCCAAAAAAAAAACUCUUGCGCGUGCCCUCUCAAAAAAAGAUUGCCUCUUGUAUGUGGAUCUCUGCUCCAAAAGAAAAGUCCUCUCCCUGCGCCAAAGAAAUAAAAUUCCCGUGUCUGUCUUCUCUCUUACUUCUUCAUCAAUUUUCAGCCGUUGAAGACCCUCGUCAAAUGCACAUAUAUUUAAUAGAAAAUUCAGUCACUUCACUAACAACAAGGAGUCAUAAUUUCCUCCACUAUUCUGCCAUAAUUUUCAGCUCACUUAUCAAUGCUCCUUCACCAAAUUUCCAACGCAUUUCAUUGUGAAUUUUCAGCCAUGAAAAAAAAGCUUCCAUUCACAGCCACAAUUCCCGUGUGUCCACCACAAAAUUCAGUUUUCAAGAAUUCACCUUUUGCAUGAAACUACCAUCAAAGGAAUUCUCCAUAUGCAGCCAUAUAUUCCGUGAUUCAUCCAUGGAGAUUUAUAAAUUCAAGGCCAUUAUCUCCAUUAAACUAUUUUAAAAUUCAUCCAUGGAGAUUUAUAAAUUCAAGGCCAUUAUCUCCAUUAAGCUAUUAUAAAAUUCAUCCAUGGAGAUUUAUAAAUUCAAGGCCAUUAUCUCCAUUAAGCUGUUAUAAAAGUCAUCCAUGAAGAUUUUAUAUGCAAGGCCAUUGAAACCUGAUUGGAAUCAAGUAAUUAAUAUUCACAAAGUGGCUGCCCAUUCUCCAUCAGAAUCAAAGUGUUAACACGGCUGAAAGUGAAUGAAAGCCUUUCCCUUUAACCAAGGCAUCAACACGGCUGAAUGUGUAUAGAAUCUUCUUCAUUAAAUCAAGGCGUCAACACGCGUAAAGGGGAUGAAAUUCCUGCCCGCUUCGAUGGAGAUCUCCCCUCCUUCCCAGAAUAGUGCAGCUGAGUUCCAACCCCCCACCUCAAAAAUCUGAUUCUAAAUGUCUCCGACCUGUUGUGUGUGUAGCUCUCCCGAUCUGACCUGUGCGCGUGUUCUUGGAAAAUCAGAAUUGUGCGUGGACUCCUUCAUGCGGCUGUGGAGACUUCCUGAAGUGGUGUGUGGCUGUUAGUGCGUGGUCCCCAUGCUUGAGAUUCAACUUAAGCACAUGCAUGCAUGGAUUCCUUCAAUGAGAUAUCCUUACUCAUUUUUUGCAUGAGUUUGUUGACGUAAGUUACUAGGGAGAGGGUAAAUCCUUUCUUUCUUUCGCUAUUAGUUGAUCUAAAGGCUUUUAUGGUUAUUGAGUGCACUAGACUAGAAACAUACUUGCCCCAUUAGCAUGCAUAUAACGGAGCAACCAGCCCCCUUCAACAUCUCUCAUAACGUGUUCUACACUGUUGAAAGCUAAAUCCACAUGAGGUGUGUGAUGCAUAGCUAAAAAAACGCCAGUGACUAAAGAUUUUCGGAGAAGUGAUGCAAAACCUGUCUAGUCCUCUCUCACUGCAAGUCAUAGGGCCAGAAAGUCAAGCAUGGCCCAGCCCGUACCUCUCUUUCCUAGCUUCAUCUUGGCUACGCUCGAUCAUGAAACUAUCUCACCUCCGACUUUUUUUCACUAUUUACUCUUCUCUCAUUCAUGCACCAUACAUCUUAUCUGUAAUGAUAAAUUCAGAAUUCAAUCUGCUGUUUCAGUCUUAACCUCAAUGAUUGCUGGUUGAUCCUGAACUUCAUGCUUAUUUGCCCUUUGUGCAACUCUUAUUUUUUUCUUGGAUUGGUGCACAUAUUCUGCUGUUAUAAUAUGGAUCUUGGGAGUAGGCUUACUUGAUGAGGCAACAUUAAAACUUGACCUUUUUCCCGGCUCGGUGGAGAUAUUUCUGAGCCUAUUGUAAGUGGACGGUACAGAGAACAAGAAUGAAAGACUUCAAUAUUGGCUUCCCACAGGUUAUGGGUCCCGUCUGCACUGUCUUGAUGACAUAAUCACAGGGCUUGUAAAUCCGUUGUUUCGGAUCACACAGAAUAUGCAGAUAACAGAACCUUGUUAGCGCCCUCGCCUAAUCCUCCUUGAACGUCUGUAUAAUCAAAAGCCCCUCAUCUUCUUCCCAAGACGUCAAUUUCUUUUUGUAUGGAAGUUUCCAUAUAUUCUUCUAUGGGCAGCAACUUCUUUUCUUCCUUGUAGUCGUGUCUUCCUUAUAUGCAUGGUGGAGGUAACUUUAUAAAAUAAUGCAGCUGUCACUUUCCUUUCUCUAAAAUUUUGGUGAUCUUCCUUCCAAAUAGAUGGCAGCCCGUUUUUUAGAAAAAUAAUAAUAAUAAUCUUAUUUCCAUCCUUCAUUCAGCCGUGAUCUGCUUUCCUUUCUUCAACACUAUAAAUCUCAUUUCCAUGUUGCAUAGAAUAUCCCCACAUAUAUGCAGCCGUGUACAUUACAUCAAGAAUCUUCUCCAAUGUGUGCAUUCGAAUCUCAUGCCAAAAUAAAAAAAGAAUUAAAAUUAGUAAAGGUCAUGAAAUUGAAAAUUAAAACUAAUUUAAAAUUAUGCAAUUAAAAAAACAUUAUGUCUAUCAUAGGUACACAAAAAUAAUUAAGACAUCAGUUUACACAAUUAAUCAUCAAUCUCAUGCAAUAUUCUAUCAAAUAAAUAAAUAAAAACAAAUAACUAACCAAAUAAUAAUAAAUAAACAAGUAAAUAAAUAAAUAAAAUAAAAUAAAAUAGAUAAAUAAAUAAAUAAGAAAUCGAGUACAUGCAAACAUUAAAAGUGCAAAUCAUGCAAAUUAUGUAAGUCAUGUAGGAAUUACUGAAAAGGUGACAUAGGUGGGCCAGGAUGCCUAAGUGGACCUAAAGUGAGUGCGUGUAGGCUAGAAGGUGCCUAGAUGGGUCUAAGCGGGUCAAGGUGAAUCUAAGUGGGCCUAGGGUUGUGCUUAAUGGGCCAAGUGUAUUUAAAAACUAUCCUAAAAAUGAAUGAAAAGCCUAAUUCUAAAUUAAGGCUGCCAAGGGUCACAAUAAGGAGUCAGAUAAUCCCUCAACCAAAGUCUCCGAGAUGGCUCAAAAAAAGUAAGUAGUAUGAGUAGCUAUGGGCCACCAAGGAACUACUGUAAAGUAUCAAAUAAGUAUCUAAUAGGGCAUGUGCUAGGAGGACAAAAUUGAGGGUCUACAAUAGUAUAACUGAAAGUUAUACAAAAUAAUAUUUUAUACCCAGAAGCUAUAAAAUGAAUAGUUCAUAGCUUGAAAUUAUGCACAAAUCUGCACAAUGAAUAGUUUAUAGCCUAAAGUUAUGCACAAAUUUAUAUAAAAAAUAGUUCAUUGCCUAAAACUAUGUACAAAUUUAAAUAUUUUCUUGUUCUAACAAAAUAAUCAUAACUUGAAGCUAUGAAAGAUAUUAACUUUUAAUUUCUUUAUUUUCUUUUAAUUAUAUUGUUGUGGACCCCGCAUUUCGGCUCAAUGUGUUUCCCACUCGAUGGCGAGCUCGAUUUUUAUUAUUUUUGAAAAAUUGAUUUUUAUUGAUUAUUUGAAAAUGACUUGGAGUCGCCACUUAUUUUUGUUUUAUUUUUAAAGGGUAAACAAAAUAAGAAAGAAAAACCCUAAGUGUGACUCCUCAUUUUGGAAAAGGUGAUCUACGAAAAUCGGAUCAGGUUCGGGGGUCAGGUUACUUAUCGGGAAGGUACGGUAAAGACCGUAGCACCCCUCUAAGUCCCUAAGUCGGGUCUCUACUAAUGAGAUGAAGCUGACAUGGCAAUCAAUGAGAAAAUCAAUAAAUACUCGAACCAAUCAUGCACAUAUGAGAGUCAGAAAAUGCAUAUAAACUAACCAGAGUGGGAAUGAAUGUGUACCUGAGCAGCGAGCCACUAUGCGCUAUCAAGAGAGAGGGUUAGUGCAAAAUAAAGAGCAUAAACAUAGCUCACAUGUCACUAAAUCGAGUACAAAAUCAUCAAAGGCACGCAUGACACUUCACUCAAAAUUCAUUUUUAUUUUAAAGAAAAUUUAUUUGAUGUUGGGCCCUCACCAAAGCCCAUUUAUUUUGCACGAAUCAAUUCCAUAAAUCCCAUCACCUGAGAAUUACAAAAUUUGAUUUUUGGCUUAUUUUAAAACAUUUUAAAAUCAGAGAAGUUAUGAAAGUUGCAUGCCGAAGAGAGAUGGCGGCAAAUUUUAUUAAAAACAGAAUUUUGGAACCUAAAGAAAACCUAAGGAUGAAAGAUGGUAAAUAUUGAAAUUAUUUGAAAAUCGAUGUUUAAAAAAGUUAUUUGCAAGAAAGGAGUCAGAAAAUUAUUUUCUAAGCCAAAAGAUUGAUGGAAUGGGAGGUGACACGUGACCCAAAGGUGGCCAUGCAGAGAAAAUCCCAUUAUUAACCCACUUUGAAGGAGUGUUCUUUCUCUUAUUUCCUUUCUCAGUACAACGAGCCUGAUUUGAGGAAAAAACUGAGUCAACUUCCAGAUUUAGGGCCUCUCAGCAAUCCUUGAUUUGAUCUAUUCUGGGUUCGACAAAAGAUCUUCCCUCUGCAUCUCAAUCUCUCUUUCCUGGUUCACAAUCUCCUUGGGAACAUCUUCUAUAACAAGAGAUUGCACUUGAGGACAGGCAACAACUUGCAUGGCCAGGUCAUCAAUUAGCUUCACUUCUUAUCUCUCAAUUCGCAUCUUCAACAGUUUUCAAGCAUAGAGUCUCCUUUCCAGCCUCACCUUGGCCUCCUGAGUUCCAUUGCUUCUUGCAUCACUCGCCUCGCUUUACAGCAUGUGAAGUCCUGUACUUCCACUGGAGCCCAUGCUAAACUGGCUAUGGAUGGCUUGAUGGAGUUGCUGCCGAAGAUGAAAUGAGUAAAGGGCCCCUAAGUUAAACCCAUCAUGUCGUCCCAUAGGAAAAUGCUGAAAUUGCAUCAUAGAUACAACACUAUCACAAAGUUAUUCUUUCCGGUGAGGGUCCAUAGGAAAAUCAGUAAUUCCACCCUUAAAUCCUGGUAAUACAGGAAAAUCUUCAUUCUGGAUACUGAAUUCUCAGUUUUGAUGGACAACUCCAAUGCUUUGUUUCCACAGAGAACCCAGCUAUCCUUGAAAACUACCAGCAGAAUUGGGGUGAGCGAUCAGUUGGGGAAGACAGCAACAACACGCACUGAAUUUGUGACGAAACAUCUGAAAAGCGGGAUACUAGCUGAUGAAGAGUGUAGCUGAACAAGUGAUGAGAAAAUUACUGACAGCACGGUGUGGGUCGCCAUGGAUGGCACUCUAUAGACGGGACUGUGGUCUGGGAAUGAGGCUCUCCGAUGUGAAUAAUCGGUAUCUUAAAGGCAGUCUCAUCAGUUAUAACUUGGGGAUGCAAACCGCACACCCAUAUCAAUGAAACCAAUGAUAACAUACUCUUGAUCCUUGAUGGAAUAUCAAUCUAACGACAUAGGAAUCCCAGGUCAAUCUGUGAAACAAAGGGACCUCAAGGUGAAUGGUCAGCAGUGCAUUUUCGUCGUCCUCACGGAAAUUGAUGUCACAAACGGGCCUUCAUGAUUGGAUUUUCCUUUUCACUGUUCCAUUGAGGAUGGUAUUUCCCAUGCAUUUUUCCAUUUUGCAUGAAGAUGAGAAACUUCAGAACAAAUCUCAGCAGCAUAUGUACGUGCCAAAUCCUCUCUGAAAAGACACGGUUGCGAAACAGAAAGAGUGACCCCCAUUUACAAAAUCUGACGAAAGGCACAGUCGAUGUUUGGUCUGAAAUGAGUAUCGGAGCUGGAUAAUGAAAGGGUGAUGAGUUGGAGUGGUUUUGGGUGCUAAUGUAGAGUGAGAACUGUGAUGACGGGUAUCAGUGGGUGAUGGCAUCCAUGAGUGAGAAAUGGAUAUGCAUGAAGGGGUGUGGUGUAGAAAUGGAAAAGGUGGCGGAGGAUUCAUGAAGGUGUAGGGCUAUGGGCAUGGUGGUGUGGGAUUCCAUGAUGUGGAGAUAAGAGUGUGGGCAUGGUGAGGAUCUUACAAGUUGAUGGAAAAUGGUGAGAGAGGAAUGGAUGAUGAAUUGCAUGAAAAGUGGUUUGCAUAUGGUACAACAGUGGGAGAAAUGUGUAGGUGGGUAUGCGGUACAAAAAAAGGAAUGGGUAUAGCAAGCAUGAGGUGUGAUAGCUGGUGCAUGAUGACAAGAGUGAUGGUGAGCUUGAGGUGGGUUUGAUGCCGUGGAUGCAUGCAUGGGAGUGAUGGUAUGAGAUGUUGGAAGUGGGCAUGGGAAUGGUGGUCAAUGAGAAGGGUGAUCACACAAAUGAUGGAUACGAGUAUGGGGUAACAUGAUGAGCAAGCGGGCAUAGAGAAUAAAGAUGAAGGGCCCAAACCAUACUUCACCAGCUAUCUUAAGAUAAUCCAAAUCACCAGCACUAAGGGGUUGCCUUGAAGAGAGGAGUAAACUGUGAAUCUGAACUUGAUAUUUUGCCAUAAUCAACAGAGGGUCGUGCCAACAUGAGAGACCCAAAGACAGAACCAAUACCACUUCCAACAACACUGAAGACCUGAAUAACUUGAAGAUCGGUACAGUUAUUAGCCAGGUUUCUGAUGCAAUUUGAACAGAGGUUGAUAUUCUCUUUCCCAAUGAUAUAAUGGCCACAGGCAAAGUUAUUGAUAGCGUCCUCCUUGACACUGAUGAAUUGCUCUGAACGAAAAGGGUUGCCUGUGUGCUCCAAGCUCCACUUAAUUAGUUACAGUAGGCUCAAAGUAUGCUGGAUUGGCACGAAAGACAUGCUCCCUAGCAUCGGUUUCAUCUCAAUCUCUUUUGGAUGACCAUAAUAGGUACCAAAGAAGCCAUGGUUGCUCAACCUGGUUCGAAUCUUCCCAAAGACUCUAGUACCGAUUUCCCUUAGAAACGCCCAAUCUCAAACGGCCGAUCCAAACAAAACAACCAACACUCCAAAAGAAUACCAAAAACAGAGGAGAAAAUAUUGAAAGAAUGACACAAAAUAAAGCGAGGAAAGCAUAUUUUCAGAAGUUUCAUUUCAUGAAUCAUCCAUGAACCCUCUGAUUAGGUGAGAAAGACCCAUCUCCCAACACGACUACAAGCACUCAGCAUAACAGAGACUAUCAUACUCAAACCAGCAGUGGAUAAAAAUGAAUGCAAGAUUUAAUCUCAACAAACAACAAAGCCGCCUUCAUUAUCUACCCCAAAACAAACCAAAUGAGUAUCCAAAUAUCAAAAAAAAAAAUAUGUAGAAGAAUGACAAACGUACCUGAAAAUCUCUUUCUCAACCAAGUAUAUGGGGCUUCAAAUCCACUGCUCUGUUUCUAGCUUGCUCUUUAAGUCAAAACCUUCCUCUGUAACUUGUUUGCCUUCCCAGAGUUUGAACCUCUUUGCUUCCUCAAAACUCAAGAAGACCUCUCUUCUCAAAACAAUAUCCUCCUAAACGGUCAGAAAAAUUACCUUUUCUCUCCUCUCAGACUAACACUCUCUCCUCCCCCUCCCCCAAUGGAACCUCUCCUAUUCUCUCUCCUCUAUUUUUCCUCCAGUAGCAAAAACUUGAAUCUCAAGCAAGAAAAUCGUCUCUGAAUGUGAAUCUCUCCCCUCUCCAGCCAAACUUCGGGAAGGAAACCACACUCCUCACAGCAGAAAAAUGGCUAUCACCCUCACUCUCAGUAAGAAAACUCUCCCAAGAAAAAAGCUCUCUCCCCCUAGAAAAUCUCCUUUCGCAGCCCAGGCACUUCACCUUCUGAAACUUAGAACUCUCUGAAAAACCCCGCCUGGAACCCCCACUCUCUUGACCUCCAAGCCAAAGGAAAAUCCCCCUCACGGCUCUCUCAUCACUGCAAAAAUCCCGCACCUCCCUCCAGAAUAUCUUUUUUUUUUUUUUUUUUCUCCUCUAUAACAACUUUUCUUUUUCUCCCGGAUUUGCCCCUCCAACCCACUCUGCCGCAACAGCCCCCUUCCUCUACACCACCCCUCUGCUAAUAACAGAAGACGCUCCUCAAGACAACGGCCUGCAGAUCCUCAUGCCACCUGUCAACCUUCCAUUGGCAUCCUAAAAGCAUCAUCUGAUUCUGCACCAGCCUCUCAAGAGAAGACACGUGGUGGAGCAAGGCUCUUCCACGUGGCAAAAUGAGCAGCUGCCUGAAUGGCCCCAAAUGGGGGGUCUACAAUUGUGUAACUGGAAGUUAUACAUAAAUAGUUCAUAGUCUGAAGUUAUGCACAAAUUUACAUUAAAAAAAAAAGUUGAUAACCUGAAUCUAUGUAUAAAUUUGCAUAUUUUCUUGUUUUGACAAAAUAAUUAUAACUCAAAGUUAUGAAAAAAUAUUGGCUUUUAAUUUUUAUUUCGUAUUCACUUAUUUUUCACAAUAGAAAUUAUGGAAAACAAUUUUUAUUAACAAUUCUUUCAUAGCCAGAAACUAUGCAAACAAUUUCUAAUUCUCUUGUAUAACCAGAAGUUAUACAAAACAAAAUUGUCAAUGAACAACUAUGUACCUAGAAGAUAUAUAAUUUUUUUUAAAAUUUUGUUAUAUAACCAGAAGUUAUAUCAUAAUAUAAUUGUCAAUUGUUUAAUGUUAUUGUAACAUUACUUAAAUUUUAAUUAUUCAUAACCUGAAGCUAUGAAGAAAAAGUUAGUAAAUUAAUAAUUGUUAGAGCUUGUAUAGCAAGAAGUUAUAUGAAUAUAUAUAUAUAUAUAUAUAUUAUAUAACCAAAAGUUAUAUAAAUAUUAUUAUUCAUAAACCGAAGUUAUGAAAAUAAGAAAAUUAAUAUUCUUUGUGCUAAUAAAAUGUUAUGUCAAAGUUGGUAAUAUGUACUUUUUUAUAGUUAGAAGCUAUAGAGAACAAAAUUGUUAACUAACAAUUUUGUACAACUUUAUGAAAUUUAUAUGACCAAAACUUAUAAUGAAAUAUAUUAUAGCUUGAAGCUAUGAUAACAAGCAUAUAGAUAAUAUUUACAUAUUAUCAAAAGAUUAAUAUUUUGUAUAUCAAGUUAUACAAAUAGACAAUUGUUUGAUAGUUUUUAUAAAUUUCUAUUAUUAGAAGUAUACUGUCAUUAGUAGAAAAAUUUAUAUAUAGAUGUGGAAUUUUGAAUUGCAUGAAAGUAUGAUAUUUUUGUAUUAUAGGUGAUAGUUUGGAAUAUUUUUUUUAUUCUAGUUAUUUAAUAUACAAUAAUAUUUUGAUUUAGAAAUUUGAGAUUUUUUGGGUACAUGUGAAAUAUAUGACUUGGUCAUAUGAUUAAUAAAUUGAUUUCGCAUGUCUUAUUUGUUUAUAACAUGUUUUUAUGAUUGAAAAUUUUUGAGUUGUAUAAAAUAAUAUAUAUUAUUGCAUGUUGUCACAUAUGAUAUUUUUAUUAAUGCAUUAAUUUCAUUAUUCAAGAAUAUCUUUUCAGAAACAAUACAUUCAACUAUUAUUUUUAAUAUAUUAUGUUAUAUCUUUACAUACAUAUUUAUAUAGAUUUGUAAUGUUUCGAUUUAAGUUUUGAAACAAUAAGAUGCUUUAAAUCAUGAUAUGUUCUUUUGAAAUUUUGAUUUAUGAAUUAAUUUCUGCACAUUGAUUUAUAUCGUAAUAAUAUUUUGAAUAAAAAUUAUUGAUCUAUCACUACAAUUAGUUUGAUUAUUGAAAGACUUCCUAGUUAUUUCAUAUAUAAAUUGUUCCACACUUAUAAAAUCAAAUGUGUGAGAUAUUUAAGAAACAAAUAACUUUAAAUUAUCUUUUUCAUAUUUGUUUUGUUGUGUUAUAUAUGCUUUCAUUGUUUUUACACAACUUAUUAAGGUAAGUCAUCAUCGAUGACUAGUAUAUUUCCAUUUGAUUUUAACUCUUUUUCUAUGAUAAUAUUUCUUCAACUCUAUAAAGGUGAGGUCUUUAUGACAUGUUUUAUGACUUGUUAUUUUGAUGAAACUCUUGUCUCAUUAAUUGCACAACAUUGAUGACAGACAAUGUUAAUACUAUAUCAGGUGAUAGAAACCUAAUUAAAGGCUCCAGAAUAACUUAUACUAUGUCAUUAGUAGUAUUUGAUUCUAUGUGAAUGACACUUUAUACGAUGCUAGAUCCAGAAGAAUCUUGUAAGACCAACUUAGUUCCCCAUGGUAAAAGGUCGUAUGGAUGUACAUUAUAAAACCAGAAGUUUUUAUUUUGUAACUAGUCUAUCUAUACACUUGAAAGAUAGAAUGACACGUUGUGCAAAUUAUCAUUUUAAUUAGACAAUUUUCUCGCCGUUAGGGGUAGAAGAGUCAAUUCCAGAAGAACAGCGUGAAAUUAUUUGGAAUGCAUUGACUUUGACUUAUCUUGAUCCUCGUACUAAUCAAUGUGAAGUGGAAGUUCAAAAGAUUAUUUAUUUGCAAGAACUUGUAAAUCAACUACUAAAUGUUUUCAUUGAUGCAAAGAAAGUGACGAUCAUUUUCACUUACCUAGAACAUUCCAGUACGAAUUAAUGUCCCUGAAUGACAAUUAAAUAAUGCGUUGAUGUCCCUGAAUGACGAUUAAAUAAUGAGUUGAUGUCCCUGAAAGACAAUUAAAUAAUGAGUCUAAUGCACACUUGUAGACCCCCUUUUAGGUCAUUCCUACCUUGCAGCUCAAUUUUACCACGUGGAAGAGCCUUGGUCAGCCACGUGUCAGCACCUGAGAAGCCAUGAGAGAAUCAUAAUAGUGGUUUGGGGAGCCAAUCAGGAGGUGACGCGUACAUGGGAAUAUACUGGCCGUUAGAGGAGCAGAUGCUGGCAGCUGGAGGUGAGGUGCUUUUGGAGAGGUUGCCAGCUGCAGGAAGGGGGUGUCGUCUGGCAGCUAGAGGAGCUCUCUGAGCAGGCCGUUAGAGAUUUUUUUUAGGUGAGAGAGGGAAGCUAAGAAGAGGAAAAAAAAAGUCAGAGGAGAAAGGGGUGAGAGUUUGAGGAGAGUUUGAGAGAGAAAAGAGAACCUGAGGGAAAACGAGACAAGAAGGCUGGUGAUAGGGAAGCUGACAGCUGCGGGAAGGUGGUCCGGGCUGCCGUUGGGUGAUUUUUCGAAGGAACGUUUGAGGCUGGAAUAGAACAUCGGCACUCUCAGGUAUGAAAGCAAAAGGUUUAUUGUUAGUUUUUUAUUCUUAUUGAUCCUCCAUAGUUGCUGUUGAUAUUUUGAAUGUUGUUUAGUUUGUUGGGAUGAAAUCUUGCUUUCACGGUUGUCAUUGCUGAUUUUGGUAUACUCUGCUUCUAUUAUGAAUGUGCCUCAAUGUUGUGUUUAAAAUGGAUUUUCUCACCUAAUCAAAGGGUUCAUGGAUGGCUCAUGAAAUGAAACCUCUGAAAACCUUUACUCGUUUUCUUUUUGUGUUUUUUUUUGUUUUGUUUUUUUUAUUUCAAUGGGUCCUUCUUUUGUUGUGGCCAAUAUUCUGCUUCUGGGUCUCGUUUAAUGCCAUGGCUGUGAGAAGAGGUUAUUUUGGGUUAAAGAAGCAAACAAGUUGCAUGAGGCUACUUUUGGCUGUUAGAGGGGAAUAUUUUUGAGGGAGUAUUCUUUCUGGGAAAGGGAAAAACGAGUUGUUGAAGCAGCUCCACACCAGAAAAAGGUGAAGGGAAUAGAGACGGAGCCCUUGCAGAAAGAGUGAACCCAUCUUUGAACUCUAUUCAGCUCACGUUUUGACCCAAAAUCUAUUCAAUAUCACUGAAGACAACGUGGGAAAUCUCUGUAUGUCACUCGAAACUGAACAGUAGAAGAAUUUGUGGGACGAUAUUGAGGAAGUAGAAAGGCUUGAAUGUAUUAAAAUUCUCAGAGGUGUACUAUGCACCAGGGCCUGUCUUGAGGGGAUAGUUUCUUGGCUAGUUUCAUGCUGGUAUUGGGAAAAGUAUUGGGGUGCUGCUCAUGACUUGAGUGAGGGAGAGAGAUCUACAAAGAGGGAAGUUGCUGGUUUUGACGACAUUAGAGGAGGAUUCAGGGCAUUUAAAACAGAGGAGGUUUCUGGAAAGAACAAGGAGGGCAUUGUGAGGGAUUCUGGCAGAGAGCGAGAGGGGAGGAUUCUGUUAGCUAGGGGACAGUUUCUUUGCCUGAGGGCAAGUUGUAGGGAAAAGGGGGAGAGGAAGAAAAGGAAAACGGGUGGCAGCUGAGAGGAUUUGUGAGGAGAAUAGGAUGCACAGUUGAAUGACAUGCAGCCAUGGAACUCCGUGCCUUUGAUUUUGGUGUGCCUUAAUGGAGGAAUUAUUUUUUUAAUGAGAGAACUCACAUGUGGCAGUUCAAUGGCUGAAAUUCUUCAAAAAAAAAAAAAAAAGUCAAUGAGUUAAAGUGGUUAUACAUGGAGAAAUUAAUGGUUGAAAUUCAAACGGGUGUACGUGGUGGGUUUUUGGAAAUUCAAUGAUGAAUAUUCAAGGCAUUUGAUAGUGCACAUCAACUAGCGAGUCGGCAAUCCGGAUGCACAGUUUUUGGUUUGUUUUUAUUAAUUUCACUUGCUUUUCAUAUUUUAAUUUUUCUUUUAAUAGAAAAUUGUUCGAGUGACUUUGGUUUGCUUUUAAAGAUCGAUUUUAAAUUCUACUUUAAUGUUUAAUUCUUUAACUUCUUUUAAUUCAUCCUUAGCAUUCCUAAUUUACUAAAAUCCAAUCUUAAUAAUCAUCCUUAGCAUUCCUAAUUUACUAAAAUCCAAUCUUAAUAAAUCAUUUGUUAUCGUAUUUCUUUUCCACUUAUGCAUGAAUUGCAUGGCCACCUUUUAGGCCACGUGUCACCUACUGUUUCAACAUCUUCGACUAAAACCCUCUUUUGUAAAUAAUUUUUAAAUUCUGUUUUUUUUUUUAAAUAAUCCUAAAAUCUAGGUUUUUUUUUUAAAAAAUUUCAAAUAACUUCAAUUUUUUUUUGAAUUUCAUCAUUAGAGUUUUUAGGUCCCGAAAAUCCGUUUUCCAAUAAAAUUCGUUGCCAUUUUUCUUCGGCAUACAUUUUUCGUUACUUCCAUGCUUUUAAAAUAUUUUAAAACAAGCAUAGAUUCAAUUCCGUAAUUCCGAAUAACAGGGUUUAUGGAAUUAAUUCAUGCAAAAUAAACGGGCUUUGGUGGGGGCCCCACAUAUGUGAUUUAUGAUCGAUUAACUGAUUGAUUGAUUUAAUUGUCAUGCAUGAUUGAUUUAUUCUGCUCUAUGACAUGCUCGAAAUUAUUUCUUAACUAUGCACUAACCCUCCUCUUGAUAGCGCAUAUUGGUUCGCCACCCAGGUAUGUAUUUUCCUGCAUCAUGGUCACUCCUUAUGCUUGUUUCUAAUUCUCAUAUGUGCAUGAUCGAUUUGGGUCUUCAUUGAUUUUCUCAUUGGUUGCCAUGUCAACUUCAUUUUAUUAGUAGAGACCCGACUUUAGGGACUUAGAGGAGUGCUACGGUCUUUACCGUACCUUCCCGAUAAGUAACCUGACCCCCGAACCCGAUUCGGUUUUUUGUAGAUCACCUUUUCCAAAUAAGGAGUCACACUUAGGGUUUUUCUUUCUUAUUUUGUUUACCCUUUUGAAAAUAAAACAAAAAUAAGUGGCGACUCCAAGUCAUUUUCUUAAUCAAUAAAAAUCAAUUUUUCAAAAUAAAAAUCGAGCUCGCCAUUCGAGUGGGAAACGCAUUGAGUCGAAAUGCGGGGUCCACAACACUUGAAGCGUGGUAAACCCUGAAAAGGCAAACAAAUUCCUUUAAAAGAAAAACACAAGGAAAGAUAUAUGAAAUGUGACACUCUUGAAGAAGUCGCAUAUAAAAUGAGUUAUUAAAAUGAUUGAUCAAUCUCAAGCAGCCCCUAAAGAGGCACAGUUUAAACAAGUAGCCUUAUGAUAGGUAUAUGUUUAAUAAUUAGUUCCUGAAAAUGUACAAGUACCUGAUAUUGAUGAGAUCUCAAUUAUUUACUUAUAUAUGAAAAAAAAAUGGGAUUGAAAUACUCUUGUCAUUAACAAUAUAUUUUCUUUCCAAAUAGCUGUUGACAUCAUAAGAAUUGAUGAGGAUCCCAAAGUAGAAACUAUGAAUGAAUGUCAACAUAGAAAAGAUUGGCCAAAAUGGAAAGAAUACAUCCCAAAAAAAUUAUACUCAUUAGAAAAAUGAGAAGUAUUUGAACCUGUAGUCCAAACGCCUGAAGUUGUCAAACUUAUUGAAUAUAAAUGAGUAUUUAUAAGAAAGUGUAAUGAGAAAAAUGAAAUCACGAUAUAUAAAAUGUGACUCAUAGCUCAAGGUUUUCCGCAGAAACCUAGUAUUAACUAUGAGGAAACAUAUUCUCCUAUGAUGGACGCAACCAUAUUUAGAUAUCUAAUUUGUUUAACAGUCUUAGAAUGACUAGAUUUGCGUUUCAUGAAUGUCAUUAUUGCAUAUUUACGUGAAUCUUUAGAUAAUCACACACACACACACACACACACACACACACACACACACACAUACAUAUAUAUAUAUAUAUAUAUAUAUAUAUAUAUACGAAAAUCCUUGAAGGAUUUCAAAUACUUGAAGCAACUAAUUCAAAAUAUUGUAGCAUAUACUCAAUUAAGUUACAAAGAUCCUUGUAUCAAUUAAGCAAUCUAAAAACAUGUGAUACGAUCACUUCAAUGAAUAUUUGAAGCGAGAAGUAUGUAUGUAUUACCUUAUUUAUUUAUACAUAUUCAUUAUAUUGAAUUUUUGCAAUUAUUAUAGUAUAUGUGGAACAUUGAAUUUUUUUGGAACUCCUGAAGAGCUUACAAAAAUAGUUGACUAUUUAAAAAUUAAAUUUUGAAAUGAAAGAUCCUGGAAAACAAUUUUUUUUUCCUCGACCUGCAGAUCGAGUAUUUUUCAAACGAAAUAUUAGUUUAUUAGUCAACAUAUACAAAGAAAUUCUUGAAGCACUUUCAUAUGGAUAAAUCACAUCCAUUAAGUUCUCUGAUGAUAGUUCAUUCACUUGAAGUGAAAAAUGACCCUUUUUGUCCUAAAGAAGAUAAUAAAAAACUAUUUGGUCCAAAAAUACCAUAUUACAGUGUUAUUGGUGCAUCGAUGAAUCUUGCAAAUUAUACAUGACCAGAUAUUGCAUUCCUUGUUAAUUUACUUGUGAGAUAUAGUUCUACACCAAUUCAAAGACAUUGGAAUAAAAACAAGCAUGUACUACAAUAACAUGGGUCUAUGUUAUUCCAAAUGAUCAGAAUCUUAAGUGCUUGAAUAUGUAGAUGUUGACUAUCUUUCACACCCCCACAAAGCUCGAUCUUAAAUGAGGUAUGUAUUUAUCUAUGGUGGUACGACAAUAUCAUGGAGAUCAAUCAUGCAAAUAAUGGAAACAUGUGGACUACCCUCCAUCAAAGGUAAUGCUACCAAGUUAAUAAUGCUGCAUGUAUUGCACAAAUUAAAGAAUGAUACAUUAAGGGUGAUAGAAUUAAGCACAUAUCGUCCAAGUCUUUUACUUUCAUUAACUCAAGAAUAGUGAUGAAAUUGCUAUUCGACGAAUAAAAUCAAGUGGCAAUUUAGUAUAUCUAUUCACAAAGGCAUUGUCAAUUACAAUACUCAAGAAGCUCAUUGGAAUACGCCGACUCAAAGAUCUCCAUGUUGUACUACUAGAGAAAAUAUAAUCAUGUCAACAUGAGGGGGAGCUAAUUGAUAAAAAUAUCACUACGCUACACUCUUUUUUCCUUCAUCCAAGUUUUGUCUCAUUGGGUUUUACUGGCAAGGUUUUUAAUAAGACAAUUGUGGUAAUCCAAAAAAAUAUUGUACUCUUUUUCUUUCACUAGGGUUUUUCCUAGUAAGGUUUUAAUGAGACAUAUUCUUAUGAUCAUACAAGGAGGAGUAUUAUAAAAUAUGAGAUUUUGUAUCACUAUGGUAACUUGUGGAUGAUCAUUCAUAUUAAUAUACAUCUCUUUGUAACUCCCUAUAAAAGGGAGAUACCUCUAAUGAAAAUUAAUCUGGUUCUCUUCCAACAUUUUGUUAUACUUUUCUUUGAAUAUCUUUGUUUAUUCUCUCAUAUUUUCUUUUUCUUCUUCUUUUUAUUUCACAACUGUGGACCCGCAUUUUUCACGUGCGCCCCCACUUGAUCGACGAGACUCGCUUUUUAUUGUGAAAAAUUAAUUUUAAAAAAAAGUUGGAGUCGCCACUUAUUUUAUUUUUUAUUUUUGAAGGGAAAAUAAAACAAGAAAUAAAACCCUAAAAAAAAUGACUCCAUAAUUUUUGGAAAAGCGUGUCUUUGAAAACCCAAGUCUUGGUCCGGGGAUCAGGUUACUUAUUGGGAAGGUACCUCUAGGAGGUAGCACCCCUCUAAGCCCUAAAGAGGUCUCUACUAACUAAGUUAAGGGAAGCGUGGCAAUUAAAUGGUUGACCUCGGGUACCUAAGUAGGCUAGGUGAUUCCAAAAAAAACAUAACAUAUCAAACAAAAUCAAAUCACAAUUAAGGAGAGUUAAAAAUGCGUACCUGGACAGCCUCCCAAGCGCUAUCAUAAAACAUAAGAGAUUAGUUUGGAGAUACAUCACACAACAUUGUUUUAUCAAAGAUAAUCAAACAAUCAUCAAAUGUAUAUCAAGGCAAUUAAAGAGGAUAGCAAGCAUGGGCAUACAUAUUCAUAGGGUUUAGAAAGUGGGUAUUAGGGAACGUACCUGGAUAGCAUAUUUAAUUCCUAAUGCGCUUCCACAAAACAUGAGAGGUUAGAUAACAAACAAUAAAAUAAGAAGUCCUAGCAUGCUCGUUAUCUAAUUAUCAUAGCAUAAAUUGUCAAAAUAUAUGAAAACAAUAAUUAUCACACUCAUCUUGUAUACAAUUUCUAAAAAAAAGAUAGAUAUAAUUUCAAAAAGUGACAAAAAUGGCAACAAAAAUAAUUUUUGAAAAGAUUUUCUUAUGUAGGGGUUUCACCAAUUCCCCAAAUUAAUAUACACAAAUUUAGCCCAGAAUUAUCCCAUUAUUUGGGACCACAAGCUUUGAUUCGUGUUUUUGUUCAAAACCAAACUUUUUGUUAGAAACUGAGAAGGAUGCAAACCGAACAAAAAAAUGGUUGCAUAUUAUUUUAAGAAAAUGAGAUUUUUUUUAUUCCAAGGACUCUAAAUGAAUUUUUUUUUUAAAAUAGGUUUUUAAAGGGAUCUUUUAAGGAAAGUGUUGGAUUUCAAAAUAAAAAGAAAUUAAUUUGAAAAUGACAAGACAUAAGGAACAAAAUACCAAGCAAAACAAAAGUGAUUAAAAUCGCAAAGUAGAGUUUUUGACAACUGAGAAAAUUGAAGUGGUGAGAAUGGAGGUCAAUCUUCCCUAUUUUCCGAUGGCCUCCGAAAAGUAAAUUUUACUAGAGAUUACCAAAGCAAUAAACUACUCAAACUCAGGUCAAAUAAGCUAACGAGAUACCCACCAAGAAUUAAUGACGAAUAUUUAAGAAACACAUCCAUUAAGAAUAAAAAUCAAGAAUUAGCAUGAGAUCAAUUAACCACACAAACACAUCUAGAUUUAUUAAAAUGAGACAAAUUAAAUCAAAGCAAACAAUAAUUUUCAAACAUAGAAUUAACUUUAUUAAUGAAGUAAUUUUAUAUAAAAUACUUAAAUCGAAUAGAUGAGUGAAACUAAAUCAGGGUAAACUAAAGGCAUGAAUUUUCAAAUAUAGAAUUGAUUUUAUUAAUGACCUAAAAUUUUACAAACUCCUAAAAUACUUAAAAUGAAUCAAUUUAAACAAAAGGAAACUAAAACAAAAUAUGGAUUUAGGGAAUCUAAUUUCAAAAUAAACUUACAUUAUUAAAAUGAAACCUAGGCUUAAAAUGAAUUAAACACUAAUUAAAGUCAAUCUAAACUUAAAUUCUUAACAUACAUGAUCAAUUAUUUUAACAAAUUAAAAUUUUACAAGAGCACCUAAACCUAAAGUUAUAUAAAAACACUAACAAGAACAGAUUUUUAAAAUUAAAUCUCUAACCUAUAAAAAUUAGUUUUAUUAAUAAAUAAAUGAAAUAGGUAAUGCAUGACUAAAUAAGUAUAGCUAAAACAAAAUACGGACUCAUGGAAUUAAUUUUUUUUUUUUUUUUGUGUAUAAACUUACAUUACUGGAAUAAAAUUUGAGCUUAACAAAUGUUUUUAACACUAAUUAAGGUAAGUUUAAAAUCUAAUAUUUAACAUAUAAAAAUCAAUCAUUUCAACAAACUAAAAUUUUACUUAAACCUAAAACCAAUUCAACCGACCUACAACAAUUUUUUUUUUUUUAAACUGAAUUUUUAGCCCAUAGGAUCAAUCUUAUUAAUAAAUAAAUAAAUUACAAAGAAUUAAAUUAAUAGCAAAUAAAUAAAUAAAUAAUCAAUAAUUAAAUGAAUCAAAACUAAAUUAAAUAAAGAUCAACUAUAUAUUUUUUUUCAAGUAAAGCUACAUAAAAUUGUAUUUUAUGAAUUGAAUAUAAUACAUCAAAACUAACCUUAAACAACACUAAUCUUUAAUGUAAUAAAUCAAAAAAUUAAACAAAAAGUGAGAUUGUGCUCCCAUAUUAAAACGAAUACAUGCUGGAGCCAAUAAAACAAAUCAACCCACUCAACCCAAUAUAAUAAUCCAACUUUAAAUAGUACAUCACAAGACAUCAAAGUUCCACCCAAUGUAAUAAAUAAAUAAAAAAUUAAACCAAAAGUGAGAUUUUGCUGCCAUAUGAAUACAUGUUGGAGCCAAUAAAACAAAUCAACCCACUCAACCCAAUAUAAUAAUCCAACUUUAAAAAGUACAUCACAAGACAUCAAAGUUCCACUAAAAACUCAUAAAAAAAUAACUAACUUACCUAGUUGGCUUACCAAAAAAAACCUGGUGGCAUGUAGUUGCUUUCUCUUCCCUAAUGAUGCUCGGGAACAAUGGUAUUGGUUGAUGGGAACUGAUGAGUUUUGGUUCUUCAGCCAAUACUCUUAUUUCAAAUCAACAAAGCUCGUCUCAAGGAACGGUAAGUAUAAAUUUAAGAACCCCGCAACUGGUUUUCAAUUAUUUUGAUAGCCAAUAAAAAAUGGAUAAUGUGUUCCAGAAGUUGGACGAACAUGAGGACGUAUGGCAGGAGAAUGGAGAAAAGCAAAUGUGCGGCCUGGUUGUGUAGUUGACGAUGAUGGGAAUUGGAGGAUUCUCUGUUUUUAAGGAUAUGUGGAUGGAUGGACUGCUGUCCAGAUGGUUCUCGAUUUUCAACCAAAGGAAGAUUCAGAAGACUCAUGCGACAGGAAAAUUCAGAUGACGCAAACACCAACUUCGGCCUGGCUACGUCAACUUCAGCAGCGGGGUUGACCAAAACGAUCUGGGUGUUCAGGAUCUAACCAUUGGUGAGUUCAAAUGUUGUCUCCCUUCUUUCCCUUCCAAAUCUUCCCGUUCCCUCUCCUCUAUACCUUCCCAAUCGCGGGGUGAAUAGCCGAUGAAUCACCAAACAGUUGCGUAUGUGGGUUUCCCCAAAACAACUUAUCUCUGCUCUAAAAAAAAAAACCUCCCUCUCUCGUGUGUCUUCCUUCCUUUUCUUUUCUUUUCCUUCUUCUUCCUCUUUUCUCAAUCUCUCCGACUCCUCUCUAGCCACCAGUGAUCGAAGGCACCGUAGCCAAGGUUUUCCUCUUUUCUGAUCAUUUUUUUUUCUCUUCUUGAAUGCAAAAAAAUAUUUUCUUUCUUUCCUGGUGCAGCUGCCACUUCCCUCUAGAGAAUCAUUUCCUUCUCAAUGGUCCCGUUGACUCUACCAAUAUGGAAAAAAUCCCUCACCGGUCUAGAGAAAACCCGUAAUCUUCCGCAUCAGUCCAACAUGAUUAGAACCCUACAUUUUGAACCUAGCCUUCAUUUCCAUCCCUAUACACACCGAACAUCUUCUUUUCACCUGCCAAAAUCAGCUUUGGUAAGUUUCUAAACCUUCCCAUCUCUCUCUUUCUUCCCUUUUUCAUAUCUGUCUUGGGUUGAAUGCUCUUUCAAAUCACGGUCGAAUCUCCCUUCCAUAGAACCCUGCAAUAAAAAUAGUAAAAACAAAAUCAUCCAAUUAAAUAGUAAUAAUAAUAAUAAUAAUAAUAAUAAUAAUAAUAAAUAAAUAAAUAAAUAAAUAAUAAUAAUAAUAAAGAUGAUUAAUCAUAUACAUGUACAAGAUAACCAAAAUAUUAUUUCAUGAUAAAGAAACAUAACGUUAGUAUCUUAUAAUCUCCUAAAAAUAAAUAAAUACAAGAACAAAUAAACUAAAACCCACUUAAAACAAAAAUCAAACAAAUAGAAUUCCAGAAGACAAACCUUAGUGUACUAAGCUUAAAGAACUACCCAAGGGAUUCUAAGUGGGCCUAAAGUGGUGCUUAAUGGACCUAGCCUUCCUAAGUGGGCCUAAGUGGGCUUAGAGUGGGCCUAAGUGUAUCUAAGUGAACCUAGGAUGCCUAAGUGAGCUUAAAGUGGUGCCUAAUGGGUUAGGCAUGUCUAAUGGGCCUAAGGUGUACUAAGUGAACCUAAGGUGCCUAAAUGGGCCUAAGGUGACUAAGUGGGCCUGAAGUGUCUAAAUGGGCCUAAAGUAAUCUAAUGGGCCAAGUGUACCUAAAUGGGCCUAGGGUUACCUAAUGGGCCAAGUGUGGUGCCUAAGUGGGCCUAAAGUGCCUAAGUCUAAAUUAGAGCUGCCAAAGGUCACAAUAAGAUGUCAAAUCAUCCCCCAACCAAAGUCUCCAAGGUGGCUUAGAAAAGAUAGGCUACACGAAUAUUAACGGGCCACCAGGGAAUUGUUAUAAACGACAUGUGCGAGGAAGACAAAAUUGAGGGUCUACAACAACAUAUAUAUAUAUAUAUAUAUAUAUAUAUAUAUAUCAAACUAUAAUUAUAUAAUUUUUUUUAAAUGUAUAAAUCCAUUUUAUUUUUUUAUUAGCUUAAAAUUUUUAUUUUUAAAUAUAGAAAUGUAUUUUUGUUAAAAAAUUAUAUUUCAUAUUUUUGUUCCAUUAUUACUUUUAUUCUUUCUUUUUUGUUUGAUUUUUGCAUGUUAUGUUGUCCAUUUUUCGUUUUUAUUUUUUUCAUUUUUUUAUUUGGAAAAAAAUAAAUAAAAUAUAAUUAAUAGUGACAAAUGAAAAGAGAAAAAAGAAGAAAUGUUGAAAAAUAAAAAUAAAAUUGGUCAUUUUCGUGCAUUUUAUUUUAUUUGUGUGUUUCGAUUAUUCUCCUUUUUAAACAAUUGCAUAAAAGAAAAAAAAAUGAAAAUGAUUGUAGGUGAUUUUCAAAAUAGAGGUGAUUUUCUUGAGGAAAGAAUUCGAAAGUUGAUGUAUAAUGUUGAAGAAGAGCCUUCGUUGUAGGUGGGACGAGAGAGGAAACAACUUUGAAUUUUGAAACUUUACCAUCUAAAAUCAAAACAAAAUCAAUUGCAAUUUACGCAAUUUUGUAGGAAAUUAUUAUUAUUAUUAUAAUGGUAUAACAAGUUUAAUAUAAAAAAAAUAAAAAAUUUGUAGUAUAAAAAUAUUAUAAUAAAAUAAAUAAAUUUAUUUUCAAAAAUAUGAAAAUUAAUAUAAAAAUAUUAGGGAAAAAUUAUGUGUACACAUAAAAAAAUAAAAUAUAAAAUUGAUGGAUUAAAUUAUUAUUGAAAUUAUAAUCCGACUUAAAGUCAAAUUAGAAGAAUUUUAUGAAAUGUCAUAUCAAAACUAAAAUACUAAAAAAUGUGUAGAAUCAAAAGAAAAUUAUACUUUUGUUUGUGAAAUUAUGACUAUAAAGAAUAACUCAAUUCAUUUUCAACUCCAGUAAAAAUUUUGAUAAGUUGUGUAUAUGCAUGUCUUGUUUAAAUCUCAAUAUCUAUAAAAUCUAGUGAAUAAUAGUGUGGACCCCGUAUUUCGCACGAUGUGUUUCCACUCGAUGGCGUGACUCACUUUUUGUUUAUUUGUGAAAAAUUAUGAUUUUUAGAAAAGACUUGGAGUCACCACUUAUUUUUGUUUUAGUUUUUUAAGGGAAAACAAAGUAAGAAAAAAAAACCCUAAGUGUGACUUCUCAUUUGGAAAAAAUGGUCUAUGAAAAACCAAAUCUAGGUUCGAGGGGUUAUGUUACUUAUUGGGAAGGUAGGGUAAAGACCGUAGCACCCCUUUAAGUCCCUAAAAAUGAGUCUCUACUAAAUAAGGUGAGUCAAACAUGACAAUUAACUAGGAGAUCAAUGAAUACCAAAAUGAUUAUAGGUCAAAAGCAAGUUAUGAUAAUGAAUAAAUAAAAAAAGUGAGAGUGAGAGCGUACCUUGGCAGUAGGUAAUAAAGCGCUAUCAUGGAAACAAGGUUAGCUCAAGUAUAAAAUUAUUACGCGCAUAUCAAAAAUCAAGACAAAAAUCAAGCAAUAUUCGUUAAGCAUAACAUUUGACAAUCAGAAGAGAAAACUCAUAUGUGGGGUCCUCACCAAAGCCCAAUUUAUCUUGCACGAAUUAGUAUCACAAAUUCCAUUAUUUUGGAAUUAUAAAAAAUUCAUUCUUGCUUAUUUAAAAUAAAGAUAAACAAAAAAUUAUUUGAAAAUCGAAGAAAAUUUGUACAAGUGCAUACCAAAAUGAGAAUGGUAGCAGACUCAUUAAAAUCAGGAUUUUUGGCAACCUAAAACCCUAAUAAAUGAUUAAAAGUUGUAGAUAAAAAAUAUUUGAAAAUUGGAGUGGGAUUAAAACUGUUUGAGAGAAAACUAGAGUUUUGAAAUUUAUUUGAAAAUUGAAGUCUCGAAAAUUAUUUGAGAAUUGGAGUUUUGAAAAUUAAAUUUAAGAAUUGGAAUUUUAGAAAUUAAAUUUGAAAGAAAUUGGAAUUUUGAAAAUUAUUUGAGACUUGGAGUUUUGAAAAUUAAAUUUAAGAAUUGGAAUUUUGGAAAUUAAAUUUUGAAAUAAAUUGGAAUUUUGAAAAUUAUUUGAGAAUUGGAGUUUUGAAAAUUAAAUUUAGGAAUUGGAGUUUUGAAAAUUAAUUGAGAAUUGGAGUUUUGAAAAUUAGUUUUAAGAAUUGGAAUUUUGGGAAUUAAAUUUGAAAGAAAUUGGAAUUUUGAAAAUUAAAUUUAAGAAUUUGAAUUAAAUUUGAAAGAAAUUGAAAUUUUGAAAAUUAUUUGAGAAUUGAAGUUUUUAAAAUUAAAUUUAGGAAUUGGAGUUUUGGAAAUUAAAUUUAAAAGAAAUUGGAAUUUUGAAAAUUGAUUGAGAAUUGGAGUUUUGAAAAUUAGUUUUAAGAAUUGGAAUUUUGAAAAUUAAAUUUGAAAGAAAUUAAAAUUUUGAAAAUGGAAGUUUUAAAAAUUAAAUUUGAGAAUUGGAAUUUCAAAAAAUUAUUUGAAAAUAGAAAUUUGAAAAUUACAUUUAAUAAUUGGAAUUUUGAAAAAUUAUUUGAAAACAAAAGUUUUGAAAAUCGGAAUUUCGAAAAAUUAUUUGAGAAUGGAAUUCUUAAAAGAUCAAAUUUUUAACAUAAAAUGAUGGAUUAGGAGGGUGACACGUCAAACAUUGGAUAGCAGCCCUCUAGAGUGGAAUCCCAAGGUUCUCCUAAAAAAAUACCUCAAUGUCUAAAUGGCUAUAAGCAUCUGUCCAAAAAAAAAAAAAAAACAAUAGUAGAUUUUCCAUUUGUUCCGGUCACUACUAAUAUCUUAAUACUUCUUGGAAGAAUUUCCGUAGCAAAAUCCAACUUAGACAAUAUUCUUUUCACUGAUUGCAACAAGAAGGAAAGUCCAUGACUUUCCAAGGGAACUCCUAGUGAAACAACUACCAUUUCGGCAUCCUUGAGAAGCUUUGUGUCAAAGUGUCCAAGAACGGUUUUCAAAUGACCAUGCUUUUCAAACAGGAGAUCGAGCUCAAGCGAGAGCAAGCUUUGUUGCAGCUCUACCAGAUUUUCCCAACAAGAAAACAGGAAACUCUCAACCAAACCCAAAUUCACGAAAGAGAAUCAAACCAUAUGGGAAACAUCUGGAUCGGCGCGGUAGCUACAGUUUUGUAACAAAUCUCACUUGGGGUCUAGAGAUUCAUGUUACCUCAAGCUUUUUCUUGUCAGCCUCAUCAUCCCAUGGUUUCACAUCCCAGUGUACAGUCCCAUACCCAAGAAUGCAUAAACACCAGGAACAGGGAGAAAACAACAAAAACAUAGCACAAAUGAAGAAAAUAAUAUGAACCAUCAAAAGCCACACUUCAUGUCUUAGUCAGUGGAUGAAAAGGAUUUCUAAAUAUCACAAAAGAGAUAAAAAUUAGUUGGACCAAUUUUUGAACACAAAUUGGAGCAACAAAGAAGCCGUUAACUAUGAAAAAAAAAAUUCAUGAAUCACCCAAAGAUCAACAACAACAUAUCUCAAUAAUAGUGGAUGAAAGAAAAAAUUUUCACAAUGGAGAACUUACUUCAGGGAAGACGUUGGAGGUCUUUCUUCUAUAGAGCCCAAUAACCCGUGAGCUUCUUCUCUACUUCUCUCAACUCACCAUUUCACUCAUAGAAAAACGAUUCAUUAUGACCCCCCUCAAAUCUCAGCUUAUCUUUUUUCUUUUUGUUCCUUUUAAAAUCCCUCAGCUGCCACAAAAACCCAGCACCCACUUUCCAGAUUUUUCUCCCAGAAAAUCCUCUUCAGCUGCUGCCCCUUUUUCUCUCUCCUCUCAUCAUAGUUUUCUUCAUUUUUUCCUCCGAUCCCCUUAUCUUUUUAGUUUUCUACCCCCCCUCCCCAGUUCACCCUCCAAACCUGCAGCUACCCCUCAGACUACUCCCAUAUUUUUUUCUUUCAAGCUCUCAAAACCCUCACAACGCACCCGACUCUCCUUCAAUCCCCUUGCUCAGUUUUUCAUUUUUUUCAAGCUGUCACCUCCUUCGGUCCAGCUCUCCCUCUCCAAGCUUCAAUUUUUCUCCCAAAAAAAACCCGUUCUCUCCUAAUUUCAUCCUCUGCUCAAGACAGCUCACCCAUGUUCUAUUUUUCUUUCACUUCUAGUCUCAUCCUCCAUCUGUUCCAUUGUUCUUGGUUCAGUGAAGACGUCACCACUCUCAACCACCACCAUGGCGAGUUGGUGACAUCCUUUUCCAUGCGUCUCAAUCAUGCAGCUUGUCCACCUCAUGGAGAGGUCAUCCCCCACUUUUCCAAAAAAAAAAAUCUAGCUCACUCCCGAGUACCCAAUGAGGGGUCUACAAAUAGUUACAUCAAAAUGAUCAAUUCAAAAGAAUUUAAGUCUGUAUUAAAAGAGCAAAAAGAUUUAUCGUUGAAAGAAAUAUUUGAAAACACUCUGUUGCCAGUUCGAAUUACUAGCUCCAUAGGAUUGCAACCCACCAACUAUGUUAUCUGAGAUGCUUGCCAAUCUACAUGAUCACUUCCCAUUGGCAUCUUUCAUAAGGCCAUCAAGAGUGGAUAUUUUGUAAUAUACACGUGGAUACAUUUUGGGAUGUAGUUUGAUAUUUUAUAUUAUUUUGUAUUUUUGGUGUAUUGACAUUUUCAUAUUAAUGUUGGGAGGUUGGAUUAACACUUAAAAUUUUUAAAUACAUUUUUACCUAUGUUAUUCAUCAUGGAUGAAAUAAGUAUUUUUGAAAUUUUAAUUUUUAAGAUUUUACUUUAUUCCACUAAUUUAUUUUUAUCAUUUUAAUCAAUUCUAUCUUCAUAAAAAAAAAUUAUAAAUAAGCUUUAUAAGAAUUCAUUUUUAUUAUCAAAUAAUUAUUUUGUUUUCUUAACAAAAUAAAUAUUUUAUAAUUUUGAAAUAAAAUAAUAAAUACUAUGUAACAUUAUCAAACGAGUUUUUUUUUAAAUUUUUAAAAAAUAAUUAUUGAUUUUAUCAAAUAAAUAAAAUAGUAUUUUAAUCUAUGGACCCCUUACUAUUUUUCUUUCCUUUUCAUGUAUCACAUGUUUAAUUAUUUUUUAUUAAAAAUUAGUUUUUGAUAGGCAUUGCUACUAUAAUACCACUUUCUUUUCAUUAAGGAGAGGCACAAGAACCCAUUACGAUUAGACAAUGGGUCAAAUCAUGAAGUCACAUCUCACUAGUAGAUUAAAAAAAAAAACUUUUAUAACUUUGUUGUUAUCUUUUCAUUUUAAGGGUAAAAUAGGAAAAAACAAUUACGAUGCACUCUAAAAUUGCUUUUAAAUUUAUUCCAAAAUUACCCUAAAAAAUUUGCCAUGAAUGUGAGAAAAGUGGUGAUGUGAUAGAAGGAAAAAGUGAUGAAAUGAAGAGGCAUGAGGUGUUGAUUGGAGGGUGGCACUGUGGAUGACGGUCCUAUGGUGCCACACCGAGGUGAAAGUGUGGGCUAGUAGUGAUAGUGGAGAGAAAUGGAUGCAAAAAAUGGGUAUGGUGGGCAGAUGAAGAGAAAGAGAAAGAGAAAGAAAGUGUUGUGAUUUGCAACGGUUGGUGGUAUUGGAGAAAGGCAACAUUUGGUGUUACAGAAGAGAGACAACAUUGUGUCACAGGAUGCACAAAUGACCCUCCCCAUGGGCUUAUUUUGGAGGUGGGAAGCUUAUGGAAACUCCUGAAGCCAUCUACACUAAGCCAUUGGUGGGAAGAGUGUGGAAGCUUCUAAAAAAGCCUAGGGAUGUUCGCACAUCUUUACAUUAUGGUGGAAGGCAUGAGAAAAUUCCAAGACUUUCUAGAGAGUUCUAGAGGUCUCUUGUAUAUUCUUGUACGUAAGCUUGUACAUAGAAUUAUAUAGGGUGUUCUAGAAUAUUCAUGAGUUGUAAGGAACCCUCCAAGGUUCUAGAGAGUCCAUUGGUGUUUAUAAAUGAGGGUCUUAUUUGGUCAGGGCACCAAGCAAGUGAGUUUCCAAGCAUUGUAUAAACUUUCUUUGAAAUCAGUAAAACUUCCGUUCUUUAAGUGUUGCCUACUACGCCCUCUAAAGCUUUUAAGUUGGGUGCAUCUUUGCAAAGCAAACUAAGUAUCAGGACUAAUGUUGACUUAGCAAGAUCAAGGGUCUUGACUUGUCUAAGUGUCGCACAAGCUUAGGAAAAGACUAAGUUUGUGACAGUUGGCACUAGGUUGUGGAUAAGUGGUGGUGGUGAUGUGGAGAAAGUGAAGGAAACAUAGAAGAAGAAAGAAAAAGAAAUAUGGGAAAGGAAAAGGGAGAGAAAAAAAUACUACUAGGUAAGGGAAACUAUGAGCGGUGGCCAACGACGACACUAAUAGAUAAUGUUAUCAAUGGUGCCGAUAGAUUCGGUGGAAGCGGUAGAUUCAGUGGGAAGUGAGAGGCGACAGUGAAUUGAACUUUGGUGGCAAAUCAUACACGACUACCCUCCUCCCAUCGCAAUCACCAUCAUUCUCAUUUUUCGCUUAGGAUCAAUGUGCCCUCUCUAAGCAACAUUGACAACCCCCCUCCCUCCCCUAUCUUUUUCAUUUCUAAUGUUGUUUUCUACAAUUGGAACUAGGUUUUCAAAAACAUCGACUAUCUCUGGAGGAGUAGUACUAGUACUGUGAAUGAUUGAAAUUGUGAUUUCAAAAUUAGGUUGGGUUCCAACAUAGAGGUAAUAGAGGUUGUUAAGCCUUCAGGAAGACGUGCACAAGUGAACAAUGUUCCUAGAGAUUAUAGUGGUGGAAGAAUACCAUAAAAAGAUAAGAAAAGAAAAGGGAAAAGGACUCUUUCUCAUGCCACCUACCCAUUCUCAGUGUUGACACAUUUUUCUAGCUGGCACCAUUCCCUCCAAUCGUCACCUACCCAUCAUCACCACCAUCCCUUACUUUCAUGGUAAUUUUUUUAAGAUAAUCUUGGAACAAAUUCAAAAACAUUGUUAGAGCGCAUGAAUUAAGAAUUUUUUUUUUCUCAACUUUAUACUUAAAAUGAAAAGAUAAAAGCAAAAUUCCAAAAACCUUAUAGCUUGUUUAACCAUAUAACUUAAAAACGGUUAUCUAAUUUUAAAAAUAGAAAACUGUUUUUUAACACUUUCAAUUGUGGUUGGUCAUUAUUCUAAAAAAAAAUAAUAAUAAUUUAAAACUAGAUUGAAAAAAAAAUCAGGAAACAAUCUCAUUGAUUUAAAUUAUUAUUUAAUUACUUGCACAAUCGUAUGAUUAUUAUUAUGUUUUUGUUAUAUUAUAUUAACAAGUGAAUACUAUGUUGUUGAUUCUAGAUAUCCUUGUAUUAUGGGUUUUCUUCCUCCAUAUUGAGGUGAAAGGUAUUAUUUGUAAUAUUAUCUUAGCAAAAGUUGUCAACCAAAGACUGAUAAAGAAUUGUUCAAUUAUUGACCUUCCUCAUUUAUAAAUAUAAUUGAGUAUUAUUUGUGUUUUAAAAGCACGUUUUUCAAUUUUAAAAAUGAUGUCAUCUUACAAACCAAGUAGACAACUAUAAAUAGUUGUAGCUUGUUGUACUCUUUAUAAUUUCAUUCGUAAAUAGACUUAAAAUGAUGUUAUAUUUAGACAAUGGGAAGAAGAACUUGAAUUUGAAGAUAAGGACGAUACUACAAUUGAAGUAAGUUAUGCAAUGAAUUUAUUAGAUGAAGCAGCAACGAUUAUGACAACUUAUCAAGAUCGUAUUUCAUAGUAGAAAUGGAAUGCUUAUGUUAAUAGUUUGUAAACAUUAGUCAUUAAAUAGUUAUAUUAAUAUACGAAGCAAGAAUGUGAAAUAUGAAAAUUGUUUAACUAUUAUAAUUGACUUGAAGUGUUUGUGUGUACUUGGUUUGCAAUUAUUUUUGUUAGGUGCUUUCAAUUUAAAUUUUUUUUUUGUUUUUCCCAUUAAAAAAAUCAAUCCAACUAUUUAUUUUACUCUCUUUAAAAAAAUGAAUAUUAAAAUUAUUUUUAAUCUUAUAGUAAUUUUUGUUUCAUUUGAAUAAAAAAAUUGUUUAAUAAUUAAAACAAUUAUUUAUCUAUAAUUUAUAUAAUUUGAAUUUUAUUUAUUUAUUUUUAGUGAGAUUUAACUUGAAUGUGAUUUAUAUUAAUGUAAAUUAAAUUUUAAAAAUAAAAAUACAAAAAUUGUUUUUAAAAACAAAGACGAUUCUUUUAUACAAACAAGUUUUUGUUUUUUAAAAACUAUUUUUGAAAGUAAUUGGCCAAACAAUUUUUCUUUGUAAAAAAUACAAAAAAAACCAUUUUUUAUUCUUUAUCUUAAAAAUAAUUUUUAAAAUUAAAAAACACGAUCAAACACCUUAUUUUGUUUUUAUUUUUGGUGUAUGAUUGCAUAAUUUUUUCAUUUUUUAAAAUUGAAUUUCAAGCAAGCUCAUAAUUAUAUAAUUAAAAAACUUGUUUGAUAGUAAUUUUAAGAAGCAAUUCUAAUAUUUUUAACACUUAAAAAAUGAAAAAAGAAUUAUUUUUCAAGUAUACAACGAAGAAAUACUUGUUAGGAUCACUGCUACACAUUCUCUAUGUAGACAUAUCCCACUUCUAACUCUUCAACUUCUGAACUCUUUUGAUGAAAUCCACACUCAAACCACUCACAAGCUCCAAAUUCAAGUCCCAAAUGCAGCCACUGCUUCAACCAGGUUUUGGAGUCAAAAUAAGAGACGUAGUGAUGAAUUCCAGAUAGUCCAUAUCUUAAAGUGAGAAAAUAUCCAAAAAAGAAUUUGUUGUGUUGAGAGGGAUUGCUUGAGAAAUUCAGGAUUAGGGAAUUAUUUUAUCUCAGUGUGGUUUAGAAUUCCAGUUUGGCAAAUUCAGGAUUCAGGACUGGCUUUGGGUUCAAAAUGAUUUGGGGUUUCUACUCAGAAACAUCCAAAAAUUGAACUAUUUGACAAAUUUGGGGUGUGGGAGCUGUUCCUUUGUUUGUGGGAUAUUUGUGCAUGAUUAUGGAACUGCUGAACUGUGUUACAUAAAUUCAAAUUUUAUUUGCUUGAUGGGGAAUUGGUCUGGGAAAAGAUAGCUGAAGAAUAAAGGGAUUGAUGUCAUGGGAUAAGGUUUUGUUGGGUGGACUUGUUUUCCAUGUUUUUUCUCCUCUAAAGGUUAGGGGUGAAAAAUUGUAUUAAAUUCAUUUUUUUGUGCAGAUUUUAUGAUUUUAAUGUUGUUGUUUUCCCUUUUGAAUAAGGAAUAUAAAAACAUUUAUGGAAUUUGAUUUCUUCCAAAAUUAGAUGAGUUAUGAAACCAAAAUAGUGGUUGCAUGUGGUUGAAUCUCGGUUUUUAUUUUAUAAUUUGUCAUCCAAAUCAAGCAAUUCUUAUAUUUUUAGUUUUGAAAAUGAAUUCCAAAAGCAUGGGCUAAUUUAUACCUUAUGUAUAUGAGUUUCACUUUGUAUAUACUUUUUGUUUUUAAAAACAAAAAGUAGGAAGUGUAUCCAAACACUUAUUUUUACUUAAGUUAUAAAGUAAGGAGGUGGAUUUAUUUUAUAAGUUGCUUUUGGUGUCAAAGAAAUUAUUCUUAACAUAAUUAUUAAAAAAAAAAAGAUAUCAAUUAUAUUUGAUUGGUAUUAUCAAUUAUGCUUUGCGGGACCAAGCAUGCCCCAUCUUCUUUGGGCCUCCCACUACUUUAAUCCUACACAGAUGACACAUUUUUAUUAAGAUCCAGAUCCUAUUAUCAUGGACUGGGCAAUGGAGGCUCAGAUCCGGCCGUAAUCAGACGAGCUGUUGGGACGCCAUGGCUGCAACUACCGGGUUGCCCCGCCAAGAAACGAGCCCUUCAUAAUCUCUGAUUUACUUGGAAAGUAUCAUCAUAGCCCCUCGAUUUUCUCAUUGGGAACCAAACAGAUCCAGGACCCUUUGAAGGACCCUAAAUACAUCCAACCAAACAAUAAUAAAUAAAUAAAUAAAUAAAGAUGGACAUCACGGGUCCAGGGAGGGCUCAGAUCCGCCCGUAAUCAGACAAGAUCCAUGUUCGCCAUGGCUGCAACUACAGUUGCAUGUGAAAAAACAGGGCAUAGAAACCCAUUUCACAGACAAUCCGGGUCGCCCAGCCAAGAGAUGGAUCCUUUCAAAUGUCUGAUUUACUUGGAAAGUGUCAUCACAGCCACUUAAUUUUCCUGCACAUUUUCUCAGCAACCAAACAGAUACAAGAUCCUUCUCAGAAAACACAUUUUAAAACACAAACAAAAAAACCAAAACAAAACAAAGAUCAGCCUCAGCGCGGAAGUGAAUAGCGCGUAAAAGGAAGGCUCAGAUUCGCCUUUUAUCAGACAAGAAAAAGAUGACCGUCAUGGCUGCAACCACAGUUGCUUGUGAAACAAGGCACAAAAGGUCCCAUCGCACAAACCAUCCGGGUUGCCCCGCCAAGAAACGGACAUUCCCAGUUCCUGACUUACUCUGAAAACGUCAUCACAGCCUUUUAUGUUGCCCAUAUGAACAGAGAGAUACCCCUAAAACAGAUCCAGAAAACACAGGGAGCCAAAAAAAAAAAGCAAUUUUUUUGGUUUUCCUUGGGGGUUUUGCGUGGAUUUUCUCGGAAAUCAAACGAGGAUGAAUUUUCCCGGAAAUCGAAUGGGGGAUGGAUUUUCUUGGGAAUCAAACGGGGGUUGCAAAAAAAUAAUAAUAAUAAUAACAUGAUUAGAUUAGUACCUGCGAGGAUUGAGAGUGGGAGAGGAAAAUAGGGCCUUUUUAGGGAUUCUCUCGUCUGGAGGGCAACUUCAGAAAAGGGCUUCUAGUUCUUGAUGCCCGAGUGGGAGAAGCGGAUGAUGGCCCUUUCGAUUUUUAUAUUUAGUGGAGAGAGAAAACAAGGGAAACAAAUCAUGAAAACAAUUUUCCUCUCUAUAUAAAUAAUUAUUAAUCAUCCAUCUUUAUUUUGAUUAAAUUACUACCAAAAUUUCGAUUUUUAUCAGUAAUAUUUUAUAAAUUAAAAUUCAUUUGAUAAAAUAAAUUAUUAAUAAAUUUAUUUAUUUAAAUAAAUUAAUAUUAAUAAAAAAAAGUUAUUACCAUGUAUUUUUAAUAAAAUCUUAAAAAUUAAAUAUCAAAUAAAAUAUUUUAUAUAAAUUAAUUUAAUUUUUCAUUUAAAAUAUAAUAAAACAUGUUUCAAUAAAAAUAUUUAAAAUUUUUUUAAAUAAAUAUUAUCUUCAAUAAGAUAAGUUUCUUUCAUUUAACAAUAUGAUGGACCCACAUCGAUCUUCAUUUUGAUACUAAAAACUAUUGCAAUCUCAUAUAUAUUAUACUUAUGUAUAAAUUGUUUUUAUUCAAUAAAAUCAAAUAUUUUUUAACUCAAUUCUAACUUUAUACACUUUCAAAAUUCAUAUUUAUUAUUCUUAAAAUUUAAAUAUCCAAUUUAUCAAUAUGUCUCUAUCUACCGAUGUUUUUCUUCUUGAUCAUAUUUAAGUCAAUUACACUUAUAAAACAACUUAAAAAUGUGUAUUCUUGUUUAUUUUAUCAUUUUUUGAAGUUUUUCCAAAUAUCCCUAUGACUUCUACAUAAUUUUCGUUCCACCGGCAUUUUCAUACUUACCCUGUAUCUAUAAAAAAUAAAUGAAAACAAUUUUAGGUUAGGAGUUAUAAGGACAACUAGUAUUCAUGCAGAAAAUCAGCAUCAGAAUUCGUAACUGCAUUUGAUCAGCUAGUUUAGGAAAUCUGUACAGCUCAUUCUUUCCUUUAUUUUCACAUAUGUUGUUAUACGUUAGCACAAGUUUAGGAGUAAUUUUAGUUUCUCAAAUCUGUAUUUAUACCUCUUCUUCUAAUAAGAAUUGUGUGAAUCAUUUUGUCUAAACCUCUAUAUGGUAUCAGAGCCCACCUCAAAACUCCAACGAGUAUUUCCUGUCUUUCUCACUUCUGCUAUGGCCACUUCUUCCUUUGAUAGUUUUCCAAUAGCCAUCAAUGCCACCCAGCAAAUUAUUGCACGUCUCACACCAACCAACUUCCCUUCAUGGCAUGCCCAAUUUGAGUCUCUCCUCCUCGGCUAUAACCUCUUUGGCUAUGUCGAUGGCACUCAUACCUGCCCACCCCUACCGACGUCAACUGAUGCAGCUGCCACUACCGCUCAUCACCUUUGGUUCCGUCAGGACAAACUUAUUCUAAGUGCAAUUCUGACUUCAGUGUCCCCAGCUGUGAUACCACUCAUAGCAACCUCCCAGACGUCAUAUCAAGCCUGGACUAAAUUGACAAAACUGUAUGCUAGUCGAUCCAGGACUCGUGUCAUGCAGCUCAAAGAGGAUCUCACCCUCAUGCAACGUGGCAAUCGCAACAUUACAGAGUACCUACACUCUGUAAAAACCAUUGCCGAUGAGCUUGCUCUCAUCGAUGCCCCAUUAUCUCAAGAUGACAUCACCCUAUAUGUUCUUCAUGGCUUAGGAUCAGAUUUUCGUGACAUUGUUGCCCCGAUUCGAGCCUGAGAGUCUUCACUCUCAUUUGAAGAAUUACAUGAUCUGCUACUUGGUCAUGAGGCAUAUCUUCGAAGGCUUGACUCCACUGCUCAAUCCUUGGUAGUUACUGCCAAUACCACUCAACGCAGGGACUCACGCUCCUCAAAGAAUCAGUCUUUAUCAACUUAUCAACAAUCCAAGAAUGACUCCAGAUCAAAGUCUCGACAGUCGAAACAAUACAAAUACCCUCCAAGGUGUCAAUAUUGUGAUCAACAAGGCCACAUUGCAAAAUACUGUCCGAAAUUGAAACCCUCUGAAGCCACUGUGAACUGCACAACUACUACUUCUAGUCUAGACAAACGUUGGCUCAUUGAUUCUGCGGCUUCCCAUAAUAUCACUUCUCAGGUUUCAAAUUUACAAUUUCACUCUGAAUAUGAUGGUACUGAUGAAGUUAUUAUUGGAGAUGGAUCAGGUUUGCCCAUUACUCAUUCCGGUUCUCUUACUCUUUCAUUUCCAAACAGAAAAUUUCAAGUUGAAGAUACUCUAUGUGUUCCUACCAUUAACAAAAACUUGAUAUUUGUUCACCACUUCACAAAGCAAAACAAUGUUAUCCUGGAAUUUCACCCAACUUAUUUUCUUGUGAAGGAUCGGAGAACGGGGGAGAUUCUUCUUCAAGGACCGUGUGAAAAUGAAGUCUACCCUCUACCCUCAUCGCCUGCUGCUACUCCAAUUGCUUUUGUCCAUGAACGCACAUCAGUAGCUGGUUGGCAUCAGCGCCUUGGUCAUCCAUCCUUCAAAGUUGUCACUCGCCUCAUUAGUUCUUUCUCCCUUCCCACCACUUCAUAUCUUUCUAGUUCUAAUAAUUGUCAUUCGUGUUCUACCAAUAAAGCUCAUUAGUUACCCUUUCAUAAACACGGUCUAACUAGCACAACACCAUUUGAUUUACUUUACACUGAUGUAUGGGGACCUUCUCCCACUCCUAGUCUCAAUGGCCACAGAUAUUAUGUUAUUUUUGUUGAUCACUUUACCAAAUAUGUGUGGUUCUUUCCAUUGCAUCAAAAAUCAGAUGUUAAAACCAUAUUUCCUCAUUUCUACAAAAUGAUUGAAACUCGUUUUAACAUAAAAAUUAAAGGAGUUUAUUCCAAUAAUGGAGGAGAGUUCACUGUUCUUUGACCCUUUUUCACAACCCAUGGCAUUAGUCAUUAUACAACAACCCCUUAUACACCCCAACAAAAUGGAGUGUCUGAGCGUCGUCAUCGCCAUAUUGUGGAGACAGGUCAAACCCUUCUAAGUCAUGCCUCUCUUCCAUCAGAAUAUUGGGCUUAUGCUUUUGCAACAGCCACAUAUCUAAUCAAUCGACUUCCAUCACCUGUUCUUCAUCAUAAAUCACCUCUUCAAGCUCUCUUCAAGCAACAACCUCGGUAUGAAAAAUUACGUUCCUUUGGAUGUUUCUGCUUUCCCUUGAUGAAGUCGUAUAACACAAACAAAUUUCAAAAGAAAUCUGUUCCUUGUAUCUUUGUUGGCUACUCUACUAGCCAAAGUGCAUAUCUAUGUCUUCAUCUACAAAGUCAACGCAUAUACACCUCCAAACACGUAACCUUUGAUGAAUCUGUUUACCCCUUCAAACAGGUUUCCAUGCCAUCACCCACUGACUCAUCCCCACCAGAAACCUCUUCUUUUCAGGACCAAUUUUGCAGCUUGCUUCCAGGGAGCUUCCAGCAAUCACACGGGCUCAAGGAGAUAUCCCCUCUGCUUCUUCGACUCCAAGUGAAGAUCCAGCUCUUGUGCAACCUCAAGAGGCACCACUCUCCACUUCAGAUCAGGUACCUCUUAGACCUUCUACUUCUGUUUCUCAACCAGAAAAUUCAAUACCAUCCUCUCCACCACCAUGUCCACGAACCAUCAUCACUCGCUCCAUGAACAAUAUCUUUCGGCCAAAACAACUCCACACUACCACCAAGCACCCCUUACCUGAACCACCCGAACCAAGUUGUGUAAGUCAAGCUCUUAAAGAUCCUCACUGGCGCAAGGCUAUGUCAGAAGAAGUGACAACCCUCCUUCAACAUGGGACGUGGGAACUGGUUCCUCCCACUCCUGGCCAGAAUCUUGUUGGGUGUAAAUUUGUGUUUCGGAAGAAACGAAAUCCCGAUGGAACAAUCAGUCGAUAUAAAGCUCGACUUGUCGCUAAAGGAUUUCAUCAACGGCCAGGUAUUGACUACUCUCAAACCUACAGCCCCGUCGUAAAGCCAGCAACAAUUAGGCUUCUUUUAACCAUUGCUGUCAUGCAUGGCUGGCCCCUUCGUCAGUUAGACAUCAAUAAUGCAUUCUUGCAUGGUAAUCUUGAAGAAACAGUCUUCAUGCAUCAACCUCCAGGAUUUGAAGAUCCAUCUCAACCUCAGCAUGUUUGCAAGCUAAAAAAGAGUAUCUAUGGUCUUAAACAAGCCCCACGACAAUGGUAUAAGGCCCUUCGGGAUGCACUCCUCAGCUUUGGUUUUAUUCACUCGGCCACUGACAACUCUUUGUUCAUCUAUAAGUCUCAUGAUAUCUUGUGCUACUGCCUUGUUUAUGUUGAUGACAUAAUUGUCACAAGCAACACACUCAGCUUUGUGAAUAACAUUAUCAACAAGCUUGGCUCUACAUUCUCAGUCAAAGAUAUGGGCUCCUUGCAUUAUUUCUUGGGAAUAGAAGUGAUUCCAACGCCACAGGGGCUCUUUCUAUCUCAACAUCAGUAUAUACGGGAUCUCCUUUCACGAACCUCCAUGGAAAAUGCUAAAGAAACACUCACUCCAAUGUCCACUACAACCAAGCUUACAGUUCAAGAUAAUUCUGAAUGUGUUGACAGCACUGAGUAUCGCAAGAUCAUUGGAGCACUUCAGUAUUUGGGACUCACUCGUCCCGAUAUUGCCUUUGCAGUCAACAGAUUAUCUCAGUUCAUGCAGAAGCCGACAACAAACCAUUGGGCCGCAGCAAAAAGACUACUCAGAUAUCUUAAACAGACCAUGUUUCAUGGUAUCCUUCUCCAAAAGCAUGAUCAAUUCCAACUCAAGACCUAUAGUGAUGCGGACUGGGCAUCAAAUACGGACACUCGUGUUUCAACCACUGCUUUCAUCACAUUCAUUGGUCCUAAUCCAAUCUCAUGGUCUGCACGCAAGAAAAGGGCAGUCUCAAGAUCAUCUACAGAAGUAGAGUUUCGGGCACUAGCUACUGCCACAUCAGAAACAAUUUGGCUUCAUUCUCUUAUCAAGGAACUUGGUCUCACUCUCAUAGAAGCACCUCAAAUGUUUUGUGAUAAUAUUGGCGCCAACCAUUUCAGUUUAAAUCCAGUCCAGCACACACGGAUGAAACACAUUGAAAUUGAUCUCCUCUUUGUACGAGAUCUUGUCCAAAAGGGAACUAUUCGUGUUCAGCACAUCCAUACCAUUGAUCAACUAGCUGAUCUCCUUACAAAAUCACUCUCACGUCAACGCUUUCAACUAUUAAGAUCCAAGAUUGGUGUUGCAGAUGGCACCUCCAUCUUGAGAGGGCAUAUAAGGACAGCUAGUAUUCAUGCAGAAAAUCAGCAUCAGAAUUCGUAACUGCAUUUGAUCAGCUAGUUUAGGAAAUCUGUACAGCUCAUUCUUUCCUUUAUUUUCACAUAUGUUGUUAUACGUUAGCACAAGUUUAGGAGUAAUUUUAGUUUCUCAAAUCUGUAUUUAUACCUCUUCUUCUAAUAAGAAUUGUGUGAAUCAUUUUGUCUAAACCUCUAUAGGGGUGGACUUGUUUUCCAUGUUUUUUCUCCUCUAAAGGUUAGGGGUGAAAGCAACUUAUAGCUGAUGGUUGUUUUCAGAAAUAAGCUGAUCAUAUCAUAGCUGACCGAUUUCUUCUUUGGUCAUCUUGAAGCAAUUUUAAUAUUUAUUUUUCAGUCAGCUACCUUCUAUCUCUUCUUAGCUAUCUAAAAAUCCUCACUCAUCGGCCUCCCAAUAUCAAUGAAAUGGUGCCCAAAAUCUGAAGUGGCUUGAAUUCAGUUCAGGUCUAAAUAGUGGUUUCUGAAUGUUGUUAAGUGGUUUAUUUUUACAUGGCAAAACAUCUAAAAUUAGUAAUAAGAUUUAAUUAUUAUCUUUCUUCUUAUAAUUAACAAUAUUUUCAAAUAUCUCAAAAUGCCAAAAUAUAUUCCUUCUUAUUUUAUAAAAUUGGAAUUAGAUAUUUGAAAAGUAAUAAUUUGAAAAAAUAAUAAUAAUUUAAAAUAUUUCCAAAUAACAAAAAUACGAAAAUUGACUACAUUACAAUGAUGGUAAUUAAUAUGUAAUUAAUUAUGAUAGAAGUUAGUGUUUCUAAUUAUAUUUGGCUAUUAAGAAAAUGUUAGAAAUUCUCUAGGUUGAGUUUCCUUAAUUUUUCUCUCUUUUUUUCUAGUGGAUGUUUAGAUAAAUGUGAGUUAUGUUUUGGAGUUUUAAUUGGAGAAAUUCUGUGAUGAUGUUUUAUGUCAGUUUUGUUGCAUUCUGAGGUGUUGAACUUUGAAAAAUUGUAUUAAAUUCAGUUUUUGUGCAGAUUUUAUGAUUUUAAUGUUGUUGUUUUCCCUUUUGAAUAAGGAAUAUAAAAACAUUUACGGAGUUUAAUUUCUUCAAAAAUUAGAUGAGUUAUGAAACCAAAAUAGCAGUUGCAUGUGGUUGAAUCUCGGUUUUUAUUUUAGAACUUUUUGGAUUUAUUUUAUAAUUUGUCAUCCAAAUUAAGCAAUUCUUAUAAUUUUAGUUUUGAAAAUGAAUUUCAAAAGCAUAGGCUAAUUUAUACUUUAUGUAUAUGAGUUUCACUUUGUAUAUACUUUCUGUUUUUAAAAACAAAAAGUAGGAAGUUAUAAAGUAAGGGGGUGGAUUUAUUUUAUAAGUUGAUUUUGGUGUCAAAGAAAUUAUUCUUAACAUAAUUUUUAAAAAAUAAAAAAUAAAUUAUAUUUGAUUGGUAUUAUAAAUUAUGCUUUGUGGACCAAGCAUGACUCAUCUUAUUUGGGCCUCCCACUACUUUAAUCCUACACAGAUGACACAUUUUUAUUAAGAUCCAGAUCCUAUUAUCAUGGACUGGGCAAUGGAGGCUCAGAUCCGGCCGUAAUCAGACAAGUUGCUGGGACGCCAUGGCUGCAACUACGGUUGCCUGUAAAAUGAAACCCAUUUCACAGAUCACCCGGGUUGCCCCGCCAAGAAACGAGCCCUUCAUAAUCUCUGAUUUACUUGGAAAGUAUCAUCAUAGCCCCUCGAUUUAUUUACUUGGAAACAGAUCGAGGACCCUUUGAAGGACCCUAAAUACAUCCAACCAAACAAUAAUAAAUAAAUAAAUAAAGAUGGACAUCACGGGUCCAGGGAGGGCUCAGAUCCGCCCGUAAUCAGACAAGAUCCGUUUUCGCCAUGGCUGCAACUACAGUUGCAUGUGAAAAAAAAGGGCAUAGAAACCCAUUUCACAGACAAUCCGGGUCGCCCAGCCAAGAGAUGGGUCCUUUCAAAAUGUCUGAUUUACUUGGAAAGUGUCAUCACAGCCACUUAAUUUUCCUGCACAUUUUCUCAGCAACCAAACAGAUACAAGAUCCUUCUCAGAAAACACAUUUUAAAACACAAACAAAAAAACCAAAACAAAACAAAACAAAGACCAGCCUCACCUCAGCGCGGAAGUGAAUAGCGCGUAAAAGGAAGGCUCAGAUUCGCCUUUUAUCAGACAAGAAAAAGAUGACCGUCAUGGCUGCAACCACAGUUGCUUGUGAAACAAGGCACAAAAGGUCCCAUCGCUUAAGCCAUCCGGGUUGCCCCGCCAAGAAACGGACAUUCCCAGGGCCUGACUUACUCUGAAAACGUCAUCACAGCCUUUUAUGUUGCCCAUAUGAACAGAGAGAGAGUGAGCGCUGUUGAUAGCCUCUGAUGUAUAUGUAUAUAUAUAUAUAUAUGUAAAAGAGCGAAGGAAAAGGAGCGUAGUAGAAGGAAUCAUCGGCUCCGACGACCAUGAGAGUGGCAGAGGAAAAUAGGGCCUUUUUAGGGAUUCUCUCGUCUGGAGGGCAACUUCAGAAAAGGGCUUCUUGAUGCCUUAGUGAGAGAAGUGGAUGGCCCUUUCGAUUUUUAGAUUUAGUAGAGAGAGAAAACAAGGUUAACAAAUCAUGAGAACAAUUUUCCUCUCUUUAUAUAAAUAAUUAUUAAUUAUCCAUCUUUAUUUUGAUUAAAUCACUACCGAAAUUUCGAUUUUUAUUUUGAAGGACCCUAAAUACAUCCAACCAAACAAUAAUAAAUAAAUAAAGAUGGACAUCACGGGUCCAGGGAGGGCUCAGAUCCGCCCGUAAUCAGACAAGAUCCAUGUUCGCCAUGGCUGCAACUACAGUUGCAUGUGAAAAAAGGGCAUAGAAACCCAUUUCACAGACAAUCCGGGUCGCCCAGCCAAGGACAGGUCCUUUCAAAAUGUCUGAUUUACUUGGAAAGUGUCAUCACAGCCACUUAAUUUUCCUGCACAUUUUCUCAGCAACCGAACAGAUACAAGAUCCUUCUCAGAAAACACAUUUUAAAACACAAACAAAAAAACCAAAACAAAACAAAGACCAACCUCAGCGCGGAAGUGAAUAGCGCGUAAAAUGAAGGCUCAGAUUCGCCUUUUAUCAGACAAGAAAAAGAUGACCGUCAUGGCUGCAACCACAGUUGCUUGUGAAACAAGGCACAAAAGGUCCCAUCGCACAAACCAUCCGGGUUGCCCUGCCAAGAAACGGACAUUCCCAGUGCCUGACUUACUCUGAAAACGUCAUCACAGCCUUUUAUGUUGCCCAUAUGAACAGAGAGAGAGAGAGAGAGCUGUUGAUUUUCCAGAGAAUCAAGACAGCCUCUGAUAUAUAUGUACACACAUGUGUAUGAAAAGAAAGAAAAGAAAAGAAAGAGCGAAGGAAAAGGGCUGUUGAUGGGCGUCGUAGAAGUAAUCAUCGGCUCCGAAGACCAUGAGAUUCAGAGAGGGGCAACCACCCUUAGAAACUCCCCAUCCCUCCGACACGGUCCCUGGAGCCUCAGUCUUAAACUAAUGAGGUCUAGCCCUAACUUUUACUCAUCCUUUCCCUUUUAUACUACUCCCUGUCUUCUUCUUCUUUGCUUUUAUUUUACUUUUUUGACCUUUCUACCCUCACUAAACCCGGUAUCAAGGAUUGAAAUGUCGAAUUUCGGGAAAUUUCCCGAUAUUUCCUACCAGUCCAGCCCGCGCACAGGAUACAAAAUCUGUCCAUUUUUUAAAAAAAAAACACAAGAUGUUAUUUGGUAAUCUGAUCAUGAUUUGCAGGCAAAGGUUGUGUUUUUCAGCCUGGCUCAAAAAUCGUGGAUUUAGGGUUCGUGAAAUUUAAAUCCAAUGGCACAAAAGCAAAGAGACCCCUAGAACAGAUCCAGAAAACACAGGGAGCAAAAAAAAAAGCAAUUUUUUUGGUUUUCCUUGGGGGUUUUGCGUGGAUUUUCUCGGAAAUCAAACGAGGAUGAAUUUUCCCGGAAAUCGAAUGGGGGAUGGAUUUUCUUGGGAAUCAAACGGGGGUUGCAAAAAAAAAAAUAACAUGAUUAGAUUAGUACCUGCGAGGAUUGAGAGUGGCAGAGGAAAAUAGGGCCUUUUUAGGGAUUCCCUCGUCUGGAGGGCAACUUCAGAACAGGGCUUCUUGAUGCCCCAGUGAGAGGAGUGGAUGGCCCUUUCCAUUUUUAUAUUUAGUAGGGAGAGAAAACAAGGAAACAAAUCAUGAGAACAAUUUUCCUCUCCUAUAUAAAUAAUUAUUAAUUAUCCAUCUUUAUUUCGAUUAAACCACUACCAAAAUUUCGAUUUUUAUCAGUAAUAUUUUAUAAAUUAAAAUUAAUUUAAUAAGAUAAAUUAUUAAUAAUUUUAAUUAUUUAAAUAAAUUAAUGUUAAUAAAAAAUUUAUUACCACAUAUAUAUAAAAUAAAAUCUUAGAAAUUAAAUAUCAAAUAAAGUAUUUAUAUAAAUUAAUUUAAUUUUUCAUAUAAAAUGUAAUAAAAAUUUAUAAAUAAAUAUUGUCUUCAAUAAGAUGAUUCAUUAGAUGAAACCAUAUCAAUCUUCAUUUUGAUACUAAAGACUAUUACAAUAUCAUAUGUAUUAUAUUUAUGUAUAAAUUGUUUUUACUCAAUAAAAUCAAAUAUUUUUUAAUUCAAUUUUAAUUUUAUACAUUUUCAAAAUUCAUAUUUAUUAUUCUUAAAAUUCAAAUAAAUCUACUGAUGUUUUUCUUCUUGAUCAUAUCUAUAUCAAUUAUAUUUAUAAAAUAACUCUAAAAUAUGUAUUUUUACUUAUUUUAUCAUUUUUUUUAUAAUUUUCUAAAUAUUCCUAUAAAUUUUAAAUAAUUUUCGUUCCACCAAUAUUUUCAUUCUAAUCUUGUAUCUAUCGAAAAUAAAUGAAAGACAAUUUUUUACAACAAAAUUUUUUAUGAUUUUUAAAUCAAAAGUUAGUUUUAAAAUCUCAAAUAUUUUUAAUCCACUAUUAUGUUUUUAAAAUUAUAUAAUUAUUUUUUAAAAUAAUAAAAACAAAUAAAAAUAAUUAAGAUUAUGUUUAGUUUGUUAAAAAAAAAUAUUUUAUCAAAUUUGAUUUAAUAGUGAAAAUAAAAAUAAAAUAAUAAUUAAAAUUACUUAAAAACCAAUGUAACUUAAAUUUUUUUUUUUUUUGAUCUUUAGCUUAAAAAAAAAAAAUAAAUAAAAUGAAUUUGAAAAGAUAAUUAAUCUCUCUAAAAGGAAGAGACUCAAAAUUAUCGGAGGAAGAAAAAAAGGGAGUAAGAUUUGAAGGAUAAAAAUAAAGAAGGAACAAGUGGGUGGGUAUUGCAUUAUAUCCAUGAGUUGAUCAAUAACUAGCUCCAUUUCCUUUCCUUUAUUUUCUUGCCAGCCAAACAAAAUCUCAAGCCUGGAACCAUCAUCCCAGCAACCAUUUAUUAAAAGCCAUACACCAAGGAUUCGUAUAACACCAUGGAAUCAACCAUCAUCACCCUCUCAAACCUACAUGCCAAAGCUACACAGACUACUCCCAAGUUCCCAAAUAACCAAGCUUCAUAUCUACUAGCUCCAAAACGGUUAAACAAGAUGAAAGAAGGAAAGGAAGAGAUUACUUGAUGAGAGCCUGGUAAAGGCAGAUCUGCAAAAAUUACAAGCCUUGUCCACAUAGCUUUAUUUAUAGCCCCAUGAAAGCAGAAUUACUUCUUCAUUACCAAAUGUCAGUAUAGGCAAUGCCAGACCUCCAUCUUCCCAUGGCUGCCAAGCCCUUUUAUCAAUAUGUGAAGAUGCAAACCAAAAUGGUUAGCCCAUCAUCCAAAGCUAGCUCCUCCUCCUCCUCCUCCUUAUUUACACCUAACAGUUUCCCUGAUUCACAACAAGUUCAAUUUCCUUGCUUAACAUCUUUCAGAUAGAACAGAACAAUUACGAUUACAAUCACAAAAUGUAACACCACCCCACAUCUUCCUCUGUUUAGCUAAGCAUUACAAGACCUCAAAGUUGAUGUUCCAUCAUCAUAAUAGGCAUGGUGUAUUUCCAGUCUCAAACAAGUUAGGUUCCAUCCUAACACCAUAAUGGUGGGUUGUUUUACAUCAGACAACGAAUCUGAGUCAGUUAACAGGCAAAAAGAAACAUUCAAUAGUUCAAGAAGAUGGCUUAGAAUUUUCUGAAAACCUCAAAACUGUUUUCAUUUAUAAUUACAAACCAACCCAAAAGUUGAACAAUAUGAGGCACUGGGCUGAACAAUCACCUCAGAACUCUGGUAAAAAGAAUGAAGGUUUCUAUAGAUAAAAUGGCCUUUGCAAAUAAAGCAAUGAGAAAAACGGGAUAUAAAUUAAGGAAUAAUAGAAUGAAAAUGUUGAAAGGAAUUUCACAUGGCUUCGAAGAAUGAAUAGAUUCCGUACCCUUGCCGAGAAAUUACAUGGCUGCCUUGCCCCUCUGUUGAAGUACUAUAUCAUGCACAACUUCCCCUGCUGAGUUAACAAAGUAGGUUUCCUGCCAUGGAAAAAGAACAUUUGUUGGUGCUUCAACAAGAACAAAUUUAGUCAAAAAAGACAAAUACUCACAAUCUCUAAGGAGCUGACUCUAUGAAGAAGGAACCCAUUAACCAUUCCCCUGAGGAAACAAAGAAAAAAAUCACACAAACUUCAUAGUUUCAUAUGUAUGAACCAAUGUAGAACACCAUGAAGAACUAUGAACAGAAAUACUCACUUACUAAAACCUGAUAUUCCAUUUACAGAAGCAAGAGGAAGUUUUUCAUCUAUUGAACCUGGGUUCCUGAUGUAAGCUAUACUAUCUUUACGAGCAUAGUCACUACAUCCCUCCCCACUCAGGUACACAUCCUGGUGAGCAAAUGCAUGGAUAAAGCGUUACUUUCUUCAUAGGCACCAGAAAGAUUCCAAAUUUAACAUAUCAGAAAGUUGUUCAUUCAAUUCAUUAGGAACUGUCUUAGAUUUUCAUAUAUAUUGAAAAUUUGGACUUUGAUCAUCUCAAAAGCAAGUUCUCUAAAGAACCCAAAAUCAAAACCUUGGGCAUGGGAUGUCUUCACCCAUUGAUACUCAAUGGGAAGAGCCAUAAAUACUUACCACUCCAAACUUAUAAAAAAUAUGGUGUAGAUGCUCAUAAAGUUGUAUUUCUAUUCAUUCCCUGUUUCCUUCACAAACAGCCAAUGAGCAGAAACCAACAACUAUGCGCCUGGAUCAUAAGGAGGAAAAAAGGAGACAAUUAGUACUUGGGAUGGAUAGUUUCUUUAUUAAGUUAAACAUGGAGUUGAAAUGGUAGGGGUGCUUGGCAAUGGCAACAGGACAGCAAACAAUGAAGGUCCAACAUAGUAACCAGAGAAAACAAAAGGAAAACGAAUGUUUUAACUCCACAACAAUUUGGGUUAAGGCAAAAUUUAAAUGAAAACCAAAAUUUUAUUGUUGAAAGAAAGAAAAUUUGUGAAAUAAAAUUAAGUUGAGAAGUAGAUUAUCACGCAUCAGAACCACUCUGAACUGACAUGAUUUUCAAUUUUUUCAAAAUUUUCCAGACAUUACAACCUUGCUUAUUCCUAGGUUCAUGCAAUUAUAAACAGCCAAUAUGGUGCAAUGUCUAGUGUCUUUGUCAGCCCAUGUAAUUGAUCAUUUCCAGCACCAUUUAACGGAUUCAUAAGCAUAAAAUCCUUCAAGUUUCAAAGAGGAGCCCGAUUAAGAGGAAAGAAGAAUGAAAUGCAGCAUAAAGGAGCAGAAACCAAAAAAAAAAGAAACAAAUGGGGGAUAAAAUGUGUGAUAAAUACAUAUAUGGGAUAUUGAUAGUGUAACUAAAUGAAAUAGAUAUCAAAUCAAUCAUAUACACAUAUAAAUACAACAUAGAAAUAAGCAUGGCCAUGGUGAAAAAGGGCUGCAAUGUGGGUUGUAACCAGAGAAUGGAAUAUGGACAAGGAGCAUAAAAAAUGAUUUGGCAGGCCAAGAAAUGGCUAUUUUAAUAUGAUGAAAAAGAAAGAGAACAAAAGAAAUUCAUUAUGAACAUGACUUGAAGAGUACACCUACGCUCAAAUAAUGACCAAGUGAUCAACUUUAAAAUCACAUUCCUAACCUCAGCCCUACCCCUCAUGGAAAAAUGGAAAAAAAAAAAAUUCUUAAAAGGCCUUGAGAGGGGUAAACCUGCUGGGACUCAAACCUGGAACCACCCCACAUCCCCACCCCCAACCCAAGCUACUCGAGCCACACCUCAAGGGUGAUAAAGAUCUAACCUUCAGCAUUGAAUAAAAAAUAAUCUAAAUGUGCAAAAAAUAUCCAGCAUUUUCUCAUGCAUUUUAAUUGCUUACUAGACUAGAUAGAAUCUCCAGUCAUUGAUGAGAACAAAGAACUCAGUGUCUUUAUUAUUAUUAUUGAAUAAAAAAUAAUCUAAAUGUGCAAAAAUAUCCAUUAUUUUCUCAUGCAUUUUAAUUGCUUGCUAGACUAGAUAGAAUCUCCGGUCAUUGGUAAAAUUCAAUAAUUCCAAUUUCCACCAGUUGAUUUGUCAAGUCCCUAAUUAAAUAAUGAAAGAUACAAUACUUGAUGAGUUAUAUACUAAAAUACUUGUGCUUCCCAAUCUAAUUCUAACAAGAACCCUACAAAAUGCACACCUUAAUCCAACUCAACCAACACUCAAUCUUGCGAUUACCUCAUAGUCCACAAGGUACAUCGGAGAGACCUAACUUAUCUUGAUGUUACAAGAUUUCACAUGAACAUCUGAAUACUGGUUUCCAUAAUUCUUUGUUAUCAUACAUCUCCUGGGGCAUGGUAAAGAUGAAUAUAAAAACAAAAUGAAAUCAAUACAAGAAGUUGAUAGCCCCUCUAUGAUCAUAACUGGGGUCAGCACAAUCAGUAACAUAAGAUUCAUGGUGUAGUAUUGAAGUGUAUCAUAAACUCAACACAAGCAUAUGCAAUGUCAAUUAUCAUUAAGUCAACAAUGAUAUUAAACAUUGGUAUAAACAAAUGAAACAAUGACAACACAACAGGAAAAAACCUUAUACAACUAUUAAUCUAUCCUCUUUGGUAGUCUUUUAUCAUCUUCCACAAAUUUCCCAUUUUCCUCCAUAUGCUGCUCAGAAUCCGACCCCAUUUUUUUUGUAUCUUUGUCAACAUUAAAGGAAAUAAAUGCAUGCAACUUUUAAAGAUUUGAGGCCAUGUGAAAAACUUGUCAUUUGAUGUCAAGUUUUUUUUUAUAUGAAAAGGUUUUCCAAAAUGAGAAUUGCAGAACUAUCAAUCUAUCUUCAUCUAGGUUUGGAGCUUCUCAAGUCUUUUAUCAAUUAUCAUCCUCCAUAAAAUUCCAGUUUUCUUCUGUACAUUGCUCAACCUCCAACAUAAUUUUUAAUUUUUUUUCUAAUUAAGAUUAAAUACAUGCAUAUUUUGAAGAUUAAGCCAUGUGGAGAAUUGUCAAUCAAUCGUAAGUUUUUCCUAUAUCAAAUGCAUUUUUUAAAAUUUUCGGCCUUGUUGGAAAAAAGACCUAAUGAGAUGGGUUUGUAUCACAAAACACUAAGGAUUGACUCAAAAGUCCCAAUGAAAUUAUAGCUACUGUAAAAACCAUGUAACCGCUUCCAAACUUAAACCCAUAUUACAAGAGGAUAGUAGAAGAGGCCUCUCUUCCGACUGACAUAAUAACCAUGAGAAGUAUUAGCCAACAAAUCUUAAAUUGAGCAAAUUCAACAAACCAGUUGAUACCUUAAAUGCCCCAGUAUCCAAACCAAUAAUGUCUAAGGUUUUCCCAAAAGGUAUUUUGAUCUGCUUUAGGAAGUAACCUGUUCCCCGUCCUCUUGAAACUCUGGUACUGUACCUACAAGAAUUACAAUUCAGGAUUACCACACAAAGAGACUAAACCAAAAAGACUGUUACAUUAAAAACUACAUCGGAGUCCAAGUUUUGUAACAAUGAAAUUUCAAAAGAUGAGCUACAAAAAUGACACAACUGAUUGCAAAGCGGAUGGCAUACCAGGGAACUUUCAGUGUUGAAAAACGCCAAGUACCCUGUAAAAGAAGAUGUCAUCUUCUAAGAUUGUUCCUAACAGAUGAAACCAAUGAAAUCUAAUUAAACUCAGCACUAAUUUAUUUUCCAAUCACACACCUAUAAAACAAAACAAAAUAAAACUACAGAAAUAAAUAUGAACCACUAUUCCAUUACUUCAACCAAAGCAUGGUUUCUAUUAUUUCAGUUAAAUUCACAAAAAGUUAGGAGAGAAUCAUUUCUACAACUUACCCAGAGUGAAGCAACGCAUAACUUUGAUUAAAUCUGGCUAAACUACAACUAAAGUUUCCAUAUAAAUGGAGUGUAAGCCUAAAGGUGCCACAAGAGAGUUCAUAUAAAAAAUAGUAAAAGGGCUUCCCACAUUGAAUUUACUAGCCAUGGUCUUACAUUGUGUGAGUUGAUCGUCUUCCCCAAGUUCACUAAUGUUUAUCACAAACCUUGCCUUAUAAGUCUUUGCGGCCUUCUCCAUCUUCAUGGGAAAAAACAAUUCCAAUUAGAACAGGGAAGAUAAAAUAUAAACUCAAAAUGCAAUUAAUGUAGUAGACGAUAAUCAUUCAACUAAGAUCAGUAACAGAGGGGGGAAAUAACAAAGCCUAAAAACAGAGAAGGUGGAAGGCAGAAGUAAGUUGGAUGAAUUAGAACCAAGAAGACAAGACAAGAUCAAAACCAACAGAUGAGAAGGCUGACACAAACAAUUGAGAGAGAUCAAAAACUGAACCAUAUAAUAAAAAACUCACUCACAUGAUUAUUCUCUGGCCAAAAGAUAAAGGUUAUGUUAUUAUUUUUUUAUGUUUAGUUUCAAAGUAGAAAAUAAGCGAUAAAAUCAAAUAUAAUUAAAAUUAUUUAAAUUAUAUAUAUUUUUCAAUUAUUUAGUCUAUACAUAGAACAGAAAAAAUAAAUAAAAUGAAUUUGAAAUAAUAUAAAAAAUAAUUUAUUAAAUUUAAUUUAUUUUUAAAUUUUCUUUAUCGCUUUUUCUUUCUUCCUAUUUUUCUUUUCCAUUUUUUUCCCACAUUUUCUCUUAAAUUUUCCACUAAGCAAACAAAGCCAAAGAUCCUCAAGUUGCAUAUACAAUUAAAAACGGAAAAAGAAAGAUCUUCUACUGUUCAACAACUGUCAUAUUAAAAAAAAUAAUAAAAAUAAAAAUUCGAUCCCAGUAAAACCUAACACAAAAUUCUUUCCUCAAAGUUAAAUCAUUCACAUAGAAAUUAACUGAGAAAGAAAUAAUAAACUGUUUGGUUGCUGAGAAAAUGGAGGCAUAGAAAAGGAAAUCAAAAUUUUGAAACUCUAUUAUUUCCAUUAUUCGAAGGCCCGGAAGAAAGAGGGAAAAAACUUCCACUCUUACCUUAAUUUAGGUUGUUUUGUCAAUUUCGAGGGAGGAAAAAACAGGAAAUUAAUUUCAAGCGAUUUCACUUUCAGCAUUCUCAGUAACCAAACGGAGCGUCUGAUAAAACUAUCAUAUCCACCAACAGAGCCAAAACCAAAUAUACCCACCAUCAACAUCUUAAAACAAAAUCCAUAAAGAACGAGAAAAACCCAUGCUUUUCUUCAAUGAACAAAAGGAAUCAAUAGAGAGGAUGAGAAAUAGACCUGUUUGAGAAGAUGGGUCUGCUGAUUAAGAGGUCUAAAUCCUCCUCUAACACUGAUAAAGUAAAGGUCAAGAGGCCUGCUACUGCCACUGCUGCUCUGGGACAUGGGCUUCUCCCAAGGCCGACCCAAGUUGAAUGCACAAGCAGAGAGACAACUGUGUUAUAACAGUGCGAACCCAUGAAGGUUUCCCCAUUGUUAACACAGGUCUCACAGCCUCAGCUCUUCAACUGGUAAUUGAUUUCACUCAUAGAUCUGAAGAUAUAUGAGGAAUGUAACCGUCGACACCCGUAUCUCUAAUUUCCUCAGUGUUAUCAAUUGCUUGAUUAAGAUAUUCGCUAAUGAAGCUCCACUUGGCAGUUGGCAGGCAGGACCCAUUAUUGAAGGGAAAUGCCUCUACAGUUCGUUUAUAUUAUGGACUCUUUGACUAAAAUCGCUUUGUCAUAUUUGAAACUUUCCUCACAAACAAACGCACCAUCAGCCAUUAAACAUCAUAUUUCAGCAUUCUUUUUUUGCCCUUUUGAUAAUUGUGACACUGUCACACUCCUAUCUCCUAAUUUUCAAAAAUUAUUUUAAAUUUAUAAAUUGAGUUACCACUUCAAAAUAUAAAUUUUUAAAAUAAAAUUAAGUACAUUUAUACUAAAUAUGUGUAUUUGCGUUUAUUACCUUGUAAUAAUAUUUUAUUUAUUUUAUUCUUUAUUAUUAUUGUAAUUUAGAUGAGUUGGUUCGAUCUAAUCUAAUAUUUGAACGAAUUUGGAUAUUUAUUUUUAAUAUUCAGAUUAGACUUUGGUUCAUUUUUUAAAUCUCAUCUUAAUUUGGAUUUGGCUUGAGAGAUACCUCUAAUGAAAAUUAUUAUGGUUCUCUUUAUACAUUCUAUUCUAUUUUUCUUUUAAUAUCUUUGUUUAUUCUCUCGUCUUUUCUUCUUCUUAUUCUUUUAUUUCACAACAUGUUAUCAACACAGUUCUGAAUAUAUAGAAAAAGAGAAGAAUUCAUCUAGAAAAUUUCUUAUAGGUAUGUAGUCUUAUUCUCUUCGAAUGAAAUAUGAAUAGUAUGCAUUGUAUUAUUAUAAUUUUUAUUUACUUUAUCUCAUAGCCAGAAAUUAUGUGAAUCAUAUUUCAUAUAAUUACAUAUUUUAAUUAUUUAAUAACUAGAAGUUAUAUAGAAAAUUUUUCAUAACUAAAAGUUAUGAAAAAAAUAUGUCCAAUCUUUAUAACAAGAUGUUAUGGAGUAAAUUACAAAAAUACAAAUACGUAGUCGGAAACUAUGCAUAAGAUCCCUAAUUACUUUUUUAUUAUAUUAUAUAACUGAAAGUUAUAUAAAAUAACAUUAUAUGGCCAGAAGCUAUAUAAUGAAGAGUUCAUAAUAUGAAGCUAUGUACAAAUCCAAAAUUACAAAUAUACGACCAGAAGCUAUGUAUAUAACUCAUAAUUAUUUGUUUUUAAUUAUAUAGUAUAACUGAAAGUUAUACAAAAUAAUAUUAUAUAGCCAGAAGCUAUAAAAUGAAUAGUUUAUAGCUUGAAAUUAUGCACAAAUCUGCAUAAUGAAUAGCUCAUAGCUUGAAGUUAUGCACAAAUUUAUAUAAAAAAUAGUUCAUUGCCUAAAACUAUGUACAAAUUUAAAUAUUUUCUUGUUAUGACAAAAUAAUCAUAACUUGAAGUUAUGAAAGAUAUUAACUUUUAAUUUCUUUAUUUUCUUUUAAUUAUAUUGUGUAACCGGAAGUUAUACAUAAAUAGUUUAUAGUCUGAAGUUAUGCACAAAUUUACAUAAAAAAAAAAGUUCAUACCCUGAAUCUAUGUAUAAAUUUGCAUAUUUUUUUGUUUUGAUAAAAUAAUUAUAACUCAAAGUUAUGAAAAAAUAUUGGCUUUUAAUUUUUAUUUCAUAUUCACUUAUUUUUCACAAUAGAAAUCAUGGAAAACAAUUUUUAUUAACAAUGGUUUCAUAACCAGAAACUAUGCAAACAAUUUCUAAUUCUCUUGUAUAACCAGAAGUUAUACAAAACAAAAUUGUCAAUGAACAACUAUGUACCUAGAAGAUAUAUAAUUUUUUUUAAAUUUUGUUAUAUAAUCAGAAGUUAUAUCAUAAUAUAAUUGUCAAUUGUUUAAUGUUAUUAUAACAUUAUUUAAAUUUUAAUUAUUCAUAGCCUGAAGCUAUGAAGAUAAAGUUAGUAAAUUAUUAAUUAUUAGAGCUUGUAUAAGAAGUUAUAUGAAUAUAUAUAUAUAUAUAUAUAUAUAUAUAUAUAUAUAUAUAUAUAUAUAUAUAUAUUAUAACCAGAAGUUAUAUAAAUAUUAUUAUUCAUAAACCAAAGUUAUGAAAAUAAGAAAAUUAAUAUUCUUUGUGCUAAUCAAAUGUUAUGUCAAAGUUGCUAAUAUGUACUUUUUUUUAUAGUUAGAAGCUAUAGAGAACAAAAUUGUUAACUAACAAUUUUGUACAACUUUAUGAAAUUUAUAUGACCAAAAGUUAUAAUGAAAUAUAUUAUAGCUUGAAGCUAUGAUAACAAGCAUAUAGAUAAUAUUUACAUAUUAUCAAAAGAUUAAUAUUUUGUAUAUCAAGUUAUACAAAUAGACAAGUGUUUGAUAGUUUUUAUAAAUUUCUAUUAUUAGAAGUAUAUUGUCAUUAGUAGAAAAAUUUAUAUAUAGAUGUGGAAUUUUGAAUUGCAUGAAAGUAUGAUAUUUUUGUAUCAGAGGCGAUGGUUUGGAAUACUUUUUUUAUUCAAGUUAUUUAAUAUACAAUAAUAUUUUGAUUUAGAAAUUUGAGAUUUUUUGGGUACAUGUGAAAUAUAUGACUUGGUCAUAUGAUUAAUAAAUUGAUUUCGCAUGUCUUAUUUGUUUAUAACAUGUUUUUAUGAUUGAAAUUUUUUGAGUUGUAUAAAAUAAUAUAUAUUAUUGUAUGUUGUCACAUAUGAUAUUUUUAUUAAUGCAUUAAUUUCAUUAUUCAAGAAUAUCUUUUCAAAAACAAUAGAUUCAACUAUUAUUUUUAAUAUAUUAUGUUAUAUCUUUACAUACAUAUUUAUAUAGAUUUGUAAUGUUUCAAUUGAAGUUUUGAAAUAACAAGAUGCUUUAAAUCAUGAUAUGUUCUUUUGAAAUUUUGAUUUAUGAAUUAAUUUCUGCACAUUGAUUUAGAACGUAAUAAUAUUUUGAAUAAAAAUUAUUGAUUUAUCACUACAAUUAGUUUGAUUAUUGAAAGACUUCCUAGUUAUUUCAUAUAUAAAUUGCUCCACACUUAUAAAAUCAAAUGUGUGAGAUAUUUAAGAAACAUAUAACUUUAAAUUAUCUUUUUCAUAUUUGUUUUGUUGUGUUAUAUAUGCUUUCAUUGUUUUUACACAACUUAUUAAGGUAAGUCAUCAUCGAUGACUAGUAUUUUUCCAUUUGAUUUUAACUCAUUCUCUAUGAUAAUAUUUCUUCAACUUUGAGGUCUUUAUGACAUGUUUUAUGACUUGUUAUUUUGAUGAAACUCUUAUCUCAUUAAUUGCACAACAUUGAUAACAAACAAUGUUAAUACUAUAUCAGGUGAUAUAAACCUAAUUAAAGGCUCUAGAAUAACUUAUAAUAUGUCACUAGUAGUAUUUGAUUCCAUGUGAAUGACACUUUAUACGAUGAUAGAUCAAGAAGAAUCUUGUAAGACCAACUUGGUCCCCCAUGGUAAAAGGUCGUAUGGAUGUACAUUAUAAAACCAGAAGUUUUUAUUUAGUAACUAGUCUACCUAUACACUUGAAAGAUAGAAUGACACGUUGUGCAGAUUAUCAUUUUAAUUAGACAAUUUUCUUGCCGUUAGGGAUAGAAGAGUCAAUUCCAGAAGAACAGCGUGAAAUUAUUUGGAAUGCAUCGACUUUGACUUAUCUUGAUCCUCGUACUAAUCAAUGUGAAGUGGAAGUUCAAAAGAUUAUUUAUUUGCAAGAACUUGUAAAUCAUUAACUACAUGUUAUCAUUGAUGCAAAGAAAGUGACAAUCAUUUUCGCUUACCUAGAACAUUCCAGUACGAAUUAAUGUCCCUGAAUGACAAUUAAAUAAUGCGUUGAUGUCCCUAAAUGACAAUUAAAUAAUGAGUUGAUGUCCCUGAAAGACAAUUAAAUAAUGAGUCUAAUGCACACUUGAAGCGUGGUAAACCCUGAAAAGGCAAACAAAUUCCUUUAAAAGAAAAACACAAGGAAAGAUAUAUGAAAUGUGACACUCUUGAAGAAGUUGCAUAUAAAAUGAGUUAUUAAAAUGAUUGAUCAAUCUCAAGCAGCCCCUGAAGAGGCACAGUUUAAACAAGUAGCCCUAUGAUAGGUGUAUGUUUAAUAAUUAGUUCCUGAAAAUGUACAAGUACCUGAUAUUGAUGAGAUCUCAAUUAUUUACUUAUAUAUGGAAAAAAAAUGGGAUUGAAAUACUCUUGUCAUUAACAAUAUAUUUUCUUUCCAAAUAGCUGUUGACAUUAUAAGAAAUGAUGAGGAUCCCAAAGUAGAAACUAUGAAUGAAUGUCAACAUAGAAAAUAUUGGCCAAAAUGGAAAGAAUUCAUCCCGAAUAAAUUAUACUCAUUAGAAAAAUGAGAAGUAUUUGGACAUGUAGUCUAAACGCCUGAAGUUGUCAAACUUAUUGGAUAUAAAUGAGUAUUUAUAAGAAAGUGUAAUGAGAAAAAUGAAAUCACAAUAUAUAAAAUGUGACUCAUAGCUCAAGGUUUUCCGCAGAAACCUACUAUUAACUACGAGGAAACAUAUUCUCCUAUGAUGGACGCAACCAUAUUUAGAUAUCUAAUUUGUUUAACAAUCUUAGAAUGACUAGAUUUGCGUUUCAUGGAUGUCAUUAUUGCAUAUUUACGUGAAUCUUUAGAUAAUGACACACACACACACACAUAUAUAUGAAAAUCCCUGAAGGAUUUCAAAUGCCUGAAGCAACAAAUUCAAAACAUUGUAGCAUAUACUCAAUUAAGUUACAAAGAUCCUUGUAUCAAUUAAGCAAUCCAAAAACAUGUGAUACAAUCACUUCAAUGAAUAUUUGAAGCGAGAAAUAUGUAUGUAUUACCUUAUUUAUUUAUACAUAUUCAUUAUAUUGAAUUUUUUCAAUUAUUAUUGUAUAUGUGGAACAUUGAUUUUUUUUGGAACUCCUGAAGAGCUUACAAAAAUAGUUGACUAUUUAAAAAGUAAUUUUUGAAAUGAAAGAUCCUGGAAAACAAUUUUUUUUUCCUCGGCCUGCAGAUCGAGUAUUUUUCAAACGAAAUAUUAGUUUAUUAGUCAACAUAUACAAAGAAAUUCUUGAAGCACUUUUAUAUGGAUAAAUCACAUCCAUUAAGUUCUUUGAUGAUAGUUCAUUCACUUGAAGUGAAAAAUGACUCCUUCUGUCCUAAAGAAGAUAAUAAAGAACUACUUGGUCCAAAAAUACCAUAUUACAGUGUUAUUGGUGCACCGAUGAAUCUUGUAAAUUAUACAUGACCAAAUAUUGCAUUCUUUGUUAAUUUACUUAUGAGAUAUAGUUCUACACCAAUUCAAAGACAUUGGAAUAAAAACAAUCAUGUACUACAAUAACAUGGGUCUAUGUUAUUCCAAAUGAUCAGAAUCUUAAGUGCUUGAAUAUGUAGAUGUUGACUAUCUUUCACACCCCCACAAAGCUCGAUUUUAAAUGAGGUAUGUAUUUAUCUAUGGUGGUACGACAAUAUCGUGGAGAUUAAUCAUGCAAAUAAUGGAAACAUGUGGACUACCCUCCAUCAAAGGUAAUGCUACCAAGUUAAUAAUGUUGCAUGCAUUGCACAUAUUAAAGAAUGAUACAUUAAGGGUGAUAGAAUUAAGUAUAUAUCGUCCAAGUCUUUUACUUUCAUUAACUCAAAAAGAGUGAUGAAAUUGCUAUUCGACGACAAUUUAGUAGAUCUAUUCACAAAGGCAUUGCCAAUUGUAAUACUCAAGAAGCUCAUUGGAAUACAGCGACUCAAAGAUCUCCAUGUUGUGCUACUAGAGAAAAUAUAAUCAUGUCAACAUGAGGGGGAGCUAAUUGAUAAGAAUAUCACUACGCUACACUCUUUUUUCCUUCAUCCAAGUUUUGUCCCAUUGGAUUUUACUGGCAAGGUUUUUAAUGAGACAGUUGUGGUAAUCCAAAAAAAUAUUGUACUCUUUUUCUUUCACUAGGGUUUUUCCCAUAGGGUUUUUCCUAGUAAGGUUUUAAUGAGACAUUCUUAUGAUCAUCCAAGGAGGAGUAUUAUAAAAUAUGAGAUUUUGUAUCACUAUGGUAACUUGUGGAUGAUCAUUCAUAUUAAUGUACAUCUCUUUGUAACUCCCUAUAAAAAGGAGAUACCUCUAAUGAGAAUUAAUCCGGUUCUCUUCCUAUAUUUUGUUAUACUUUUCUUUGAAUAUCUUUGUUUAUUCUCUCGUUUUUUUUUUCUCAUUCUUUUAUUUCACAACAUAUAUAUAUUGUUAGGAAUUUGAGGCUAAUCCAACUUAUGGUAAUCACCCUAGAGGGGGGGGGGGGGUGAAUAGGGUGAUGGUCUCUUUUCGCAAAUUUAAACAAGUGAAUGUAAGAGACAAUUAUAUACAAAUAUCAAUAUAUAUAUAUAUAUAUAUAUAUAUAUAUAUAUUGUUAGGAAUUUGAGGCUAAUCUAACUUAUGGUAAUCACCCUAGAGGGGGGGGGGGGGUGAAUAGGGUGAUGAUCUCUUUUUGCAAAUUUAAACAAGUGAAUGCAAGAAACAAUUAUAUGCAAGUAUCAAUAUAUAGACAAUUGCAUAUAAAUUAAAGAGUAGGGAAGAGAGAAUGCAAAUACAAGAGUUUAUAGUGGUUCGGCGCAACCCGACCUACAUCCACUCUCCUCUAAUUUCAAUCCUGAGCUUGAGGUUCCAUUAAUCCAAGACUUCCAAACCAAGCCUUCAAGCAAUACAAUUGGAUUAUGGUUCCAAUUCACCCUCUUGGACUUUUGGCUCCAAGCACCCUUUACACUUCUCAAGAGAUAUCCCACUCUUGAACAACCCUUCAAGUGAUACCCCACACUUGAGAAACUUCCUCUCAAAGAUUUACAAAUGAAUGAUCUCUCAAAAAUCCUAGCACAAAAACUUUAAGCUCAAAUGAUACAAGAAAAACUAUGAUUGAAUGGUGCACUAAAGACAUGCAAGUUUUGAAAUAAUGGUGCACUAAAAAAUACUCUUCCAAGGCUCAAAUAUAAUCAAGAAAGAUUUGGGAAGAUUAAGCUCUCGAAACAAUGAAUAUUGGAGCCUUUUUAUAGAAGAAAAAAACCAAACUAGCCGUUGGGGGUUCGUCCGGUUGAGCUAGGGGUUGAUUGGUUGACUAGCCGUUAGCAUUUAAUGAUUGGUAGGUGACUGUUGGGCCUCAAUCGGACCUCGACCGGACCUCAACCGGUUGAUGUUCAACCUUGACCAGGAAGAGAAGGCCACUAGGAGAGAGAGAAACUUUUUAGCCUCCUUCAACCGGUCCUCGACUGAACGAGCACAACCGGUGAAUCGGUUGAACCGGUUGAAUCAUUUUUUGGCUCAAUACCCAACCUUUUUCAACUUAAAACCUUUUAACACAAGUUUGAAAAUCAUUUAACACAAGGUUUUAGUUAAAAAUAUGAAAUCAUCCAAUUCUUAAAAUUUUUAAAACAAUAUUACUUUUGGAUGAUUUUGAUGCAAAAAUAAAGAAUGAAAUGCAUGAAAGUCCUAGUGCACCAACAACCUUACAAAGAGAUCUUAUGAAGCUUUGGUCUUAAAAAAAUUUUCUCUUUGAGGUGAUCUUCUUCUUCAUGAUUUCUCCUUGGCUUGAUUUGUCUUUAUGAUUGCCACUUUGGAAAUCAUUUUGCCUAAUCACACUUGAAAUAUGACCAUUAGUUUUAAACCUUGUUUUGUUAUCAUCAAAAUCAAGAUUAACCAAACUUUGGUUUCACACACACACACACACACACACACACAUAUAUAUAUAUAUAUAUAUCAAACUAUAAUUAUAUAAUUUUUUUAAAUGUAUAAAUCCAUUUUAUUUUUUUAUUAUCUUAAAAUUUUUAUUUUUAAAUAUAGAAAUGUAUUUUUGUUAAAAAAUUAUAUUUCAUAUUUUUGUUCCAUUAUUACUUUUAUUCCUUCUUUUUUGUUUGAUUUUUGCAUGUUAUGUUGUCCAUUUUUCAUUUUUAUUUCUUUCAUUUUUUUUAUUUGGAAAAAAAUAAAUAAAAUAUAAUUAAUAGUGACAAAUGAAAAUAAAAAAAGAAAUGUUGAAAAAUAAAAAUAAAAUUGGUCAUUUUCGUGCAUUUUAUUUUAUUUGUGUGUUUUGAUUAUUCUCCUUUUUAAACAAUUGCAUAAAAGAAAAAAAAAUGAAAAUGAUUGUAGGUGAUUUUCUUGAGGAAAGUAUUCGAAAGUUGAUGUAUAAUGUCAAAGAAGAGUCUUCGUUGUAGGUGGGACGAGAGAGAAAGCUACUUUGAAUUUUGAAACUUUACCAUCUAAAAUCAAAACAAAAUCAAGUGCAAUUUAUGCAAUUUUGUAGGAAAUUAUUAUUAUUAUUAUAAUGGUAUAACAAGUUUAAUAUAAAAAAUAAAAAAAUUGUAGUAUAAAAAUAUUAUAAUAAAAUAAAUAAAUUUAUUUUUAAAAAUAUGAAAAUUAAUAUAAAAAUAUUAGGGAAAAAUUAUGUGUACACAUAAAAAAAUAAAAAAUAAAAAUUGAUGGAUUAAAUUACUAUUGAAAUUAUAAUCCGACUUAAAGUCAAAUUAGAAGAAUUUUAUGAAAUGUCAUAUCAAAACUAAAAUACUAAAAAAUGUGCAGAAUCAAAAGAAAAUUAUAAUUUUGUUCGUGAAAUUAUGACUAUAAACAAUAACUCAAUUCAUUUUCAACUCCAGUAAAAAAUUUGAUAAGUUGUGUAUAUGCAUGUCUUGUUUAAAUCUCAAUAUCUAUAAGAUCUAGUGAAUAAUAGUGUGGACUCCGCAUUUUGCACGAUGUGUUCUCACUCAAUAGCGUGACUUGCUUUUCGUUUAUUUGUGAAAAAUUAUGAUUUUUAGAAAAUACUUGGAGUCGCCACUUAUUUUUGUUUUAUUUUUUUAAGGGAAAACAAAGUAAGAAAAAAACUCUAAGUGUGACUCUUUAUUUAGAAAAAACGGUUUGUGAAAAACCAAACCUGGGUUUGGGGGGUUAGGUUACUUAUUGAGAAGGUAGGGUAAAGACCGUAGCACCCCUCUAAACCCCUAAAAAUGGGUCUCUACUAAAUAAGGUGAGUCAAACCUGACAAUUAACUAGGAGAUCAAUGGAUACUAAAAUGAUCAUAGGUCAAAAGCAAGUCAUGAUAAUGAAUAAAUAAAAAAAGUGAGAGUGAGAACGUACCUUGACAGUAGGUAAUAAAGCGUUAUCAUGGAAACAAGGUUAGCUUAAGUAUAAAUUUAUUACACGCAUAUCAAAGAUCAAGACAAAAAUCAAGCAAUAUUCGUUAAGCAUAACAUUUGACAAUCAGAAGAGAAAACUCAUAUGUGGGACCCCCACCAAAGCCCAAUUUAUCUUGCACGAAUUAGUCUCACAAAUUUCAUUAUUUUGGAAUUAUGAAAAAUUCAUUUUUGCUUAUUUAAAAUAAAGAUAAACAAAAAAUUAUUUGAUAAUUGAAGAAAAUUUGUACAUGUGCAUACCAAAAUGAGAAUGGUAGCAGACUCAUUAAAAUCAGGAUUUUUGGCAACCUAAAACCCUAAUAAAUGAUGAAAAGUUGUAGAAAUUAAAAAAUAUUUGAAAAUUGGAGUGGAAUUAAAAUUGUUCAAGAGAAAACUAGAGUUUUGAAAAUUGAAGUCUAAAAAAUUAUUUGAGAAUUGGAGUUUUGAAAAUUAAAUUUAAGAAUUUAAAUUUUUAGAAAUUAAAUUUGAAAGAAAUUUGAAAUUUGAAAAUUAUUUGAGAAUUGGAGUUUUCAAAAAUUAAAUUUAAGAAUUGGAAUUUUGGAAAUUAAAUUUUGAAAGAAAUUGGAAUUUUGAAAAUUAUUUGAGAAUUGGAGUUUUGAAAAUUAAAUUUAGGAAUUGGAGUUUUGGAAAUUAAAUUUGAAAGAAAUUGGAGUUUUAAAAAUUAAUUGAGAAUUGAAGUUUUGAAAAUUAGUUUUAAGAAUUGGAAUUUUGGAAAUUAAAUUUGAAAGAAAUUGGAAUUUUGAAAAUUAUUUGAAAAUUGAAGUUUUGAAAAUUAAAUUUAAGAAUUUGAAUUAAAUUUGAAAGAAAUUGGAAUUUUGAAAAUUAUUUGAGAAUUGAAGUUUUGAAAAUUAAAUUUAGGAAUUGGAGUUUUCGAAAUUAAAUUUGAAAGAAACUGGAGUUUUGAAAAUUAAUCGAGAAUUGGAGUUUUGAAAAUUAGUUUUAAGAAUUGGAAUUUUGAAAAAUUAUUUGAAAACAAAAGUUUUGAAAAUCAGAAUUUCGAAAAAUUAUUUGAGAAUGGAAUUUUUAAAAGAUCAAUUUUUUAACAUAAAAAGAUGGAUUAGGAGGGUGACACGUCAAACAUUGGAUAGCAGCCCUCUAGAGUGGAAUCCCAAGGUUCUCCUCAAAAAAUACCUCAAUGCCUAAAUGGCUAAGCAUCUGUCUAAAAAAAAAAAGUAGCAAUAGUAGGUUUUCCAUUUGUUCCAGUCACUACUAAUAUCUUAAUACUUCUUGGAAGAAUUUCUGCAGCAAAAUCCAACUCAGACAGUAUUCUCUUCCCUGAUUGCAACAAGAAGGAAAGUCCAUGACUUUCCAAGGGAACUCUUAGUGAAACAACUACCAUUUCGGCAUCCUUGAGAAGCUUUGUGUCAAAAUGUCCAAGAACGAUUUUCAAAUGACCAUGCUUUUCAAACAGGAGAUCGAGCUCUAGCGAGAGCAAGCUUUGUUGCAGCUCUACCAGAUUUUCCCAACAAGAAAACAGGAAGCUCUCAACCAAACCCAAAUUCACGAAAGAGAAUCAAACCAUAUGGGAAACAUCCGGAUCGGCGCGGUAGCUACAGUCUUGUAACAAAUCUCACUUGGGGUCUAGAGAUUCAUGCUACCUCAAGCUUUUUCUUAUCAGCCUCAUCAUCCCAUGGUUUCACAUCCUAGUGUACAAUCGCAUACCCAAGAAUGCACAAACACAAGGAGUAGGGAGAAAACAACAAAAACAUAGCACAAAUGAAGAAAAUAAUAUGAACCAUCAAAAGCCACACUUCAUGUCUUAGUCAGUGGACUUAAAGAUAGGUGGAUUAAAAGGAUUUCUAAAUGUCACAAAAGAGAUAAAAAUUAGUUGGACCAAUUUUUGAACACAAAUUGGAGGAACAAAGGAGCCAUUAACUAUGAAAAAAAAAAUAAAGAUUGGUCGUAUUGGAGAAAGACAACAUUUGGUAUUGCAGAAGAGAGACAACAUUGUGUCACAUGAUGCAUGCACAAAUGACCCUUCCCAUGGGCUUAUAUUGGAGGUGGGAAGCUUCUGAAAACUCCUUAAGCCAUCUAUACUAAGCUAUUGGUGGGAAGAGUGUGGAAGCUUCUUAAAAAGCCUAGGGAUGUCCACAUAUCUCUACAUUAUGGUGGAAGGCAUGAGAAAAGUCUAAGACUUUCUAGAGAGCUCUAGAGGUCUCUUGUAUAUUCUUGUAUGUAAGCUUGUACAUAGAAUUAUAUAGGGUGUUCUAGAAUAUCCAUGAGUUGUAAGGAACCCUCUAAGGUUCUAGAGAGUUCCAUUGGUGUUUAUAAAUAAGUGAGGGUCUCAUUUGGCCAAGGCACCAAGCAAGUGAGUUUCCAAGCAUUAUAUAGCUUUCUUUGAAAGCAGUAAAACUUCUAUUAUUUAAGUGUUGCCUACUACGCCCUCUAAAGUUUUUAAGUUGGGUGCGUCUUAGCGUAGCAAGCUAAGUAUUAGGAGUAAUGUUAACUUAUCAAGAUCAAGGGUCUUGACUUGUCUAAGUGUCGCACAAGCUUAGGAAAAGACUAAGUUUAUGACAGUUGGCAAUAGGUUGUGGAUAAGUGGUGGUGGUGAUGUGGAGAAAGUGAAGGAAACAUAGAAAAAUAAAGACGGGAAAGGAAAAGAGAGAGAAAAAAAGACUACUAGGUAGGGGAAGCUAUGAGCGGUGGCCAACGACGACACUAAUGGAUAAUGUCGUCAAUAGUGGCGGUAGAUUCGAUGGAAGCGGUAGAUUCGGUGGGAAGUGAGAGGUGACGGGGAAUUGAACUUUGGUUCUCCUCCCAUUGCAAUCACCAUCAUUCUCAUUUUCCGCUUAGGAUCAAUGUGCCCCCUCUAAACAACAUUGACAACCCCGUCAUCUUUUUCAUUUCUAGUGUUGUUUUCUAUAAUUGGAACUAGGUUUUCAAAAACAUCAACUAUCUUUGGAGGAGUAGUACUAGUAUUGUGAAUGAUUGAAACUGUGAUUUCAAAAUUAGGUUGGGUUCCAACAUAGAGGUAAUAGAGGUUGUUAAGCCUUUAGGAAGACAUGCACAAGUGAACAAUGUUCUUAGAGAUUAUAAUGGUGGAAGAAGGCCAUAAGAAGACAAGAAAAGAAAAGGGAAAAGAGAAAAGGACUCUCUUUCACGCCACCUACCCAUUUUCAGUGUUGACACCUUUCUCCCAUUGGCAUCAUCCUCUCCAAUCGUCACCUACCAAUCAUCACCACAUCUCUUACUUUCAUGACAAUUUUUUUUAAGAUAAUUUUGGAACAAAUUCAAAAACAUUGUUAGAGUGCAUGCAUUAUUAAAUUUUUUUCUCCACUUUAUACUUAAAAUGAAAAGAUAAAAGCAAAAUUCCAUAAACCUUAUAGCUCGUUUAACCAUAUAACUUAAAAACAAUUUUUUUAACACUUUCAAUUGUGGUUGUUCAUUAUUCUCAAAAAAAAAUAAAAAAUAAAAUAAAACUAGAUUGAAAAAAAAAUCAGGAAACAACCUCAUUGAUUUAAAUUAUUAUUUAAUUACUCCCAUAAUCGUAUGAUUAUUCUUAUGUUUUUGUUAUGUUAUAUUAACAAGUGAAUACUAUGUUGUUAAUUCUGGAUAUCCUUGUACUAUAGGUUUUCUUCCUCCAUAUUGAGGUAAAAGGUAUUAUUUGUAAGAUUAUCCUAGCAGAAGUUGUUAAUCGAAGACUAAUAAAGAAUUGUUCAAUUAUAGGCAUUCUCGUUUAUAAAUAUAAUUGAGUAUUGUUUUGUGUGUUAAAAGCACAUUUUUCAGUUUUAAAAAUGAUGUCAUCUUACAAACCAAGUAGACAACUAUAAAUAGUUGUAGCUUGUUGUACUCUUUAUAAUUUCAUUCAUAAAUAGACUUAAAAUGAUGUUAUGUUUAGACAAUGGGAAGAAGAACUUGAAUUUGAAGAUAAGGACGAUACUACAAUUGAAGUAAGUUAUGCAAUGACUUUAUCAGAUGAAACAACAACGACUAUGAUAGCUUAUCGAGAUCGUAUUUCAUAGUAGAAAUGGAAUGCUUAUGUUAAUAGUUUGUAAACAUUAGUCAUUAAAUAGUUAUAUUAAUAUACGAAGUAAGGAUGUGAAAUAUGAAAAUUGUUUAACUAUUAUAAUUGACUUGAAGUAUUUUGUGUGUACUUGGUUUGCAAUUGUUUUUGUUUCAAUUUAUUUUAUUUUAUUUGUUUUUCCUAUUAAAAAAAUCAAUCCAACUAUUUAUUUUACUCUCAUUAAAAAAUGACUAUUAAAAUUAUUUUUAAUCUUAUAGUAAUUUUUGUUUUAUUUGAAUAAAAAAAAUUGUUUAAUAAUUAAAACAAUUAUUUAUCUAUAAUUUAUAUAUAAUUUGAAUUUUAUUUAUUUAUUUUUAGUGAGAUUUAACUUGAAUGUGAUUUAUAUUAAUGUAAAUUAAAUUUUAAAAAUAAAAAUAGAAAAAUUGUUUUUAAAACCAAAGUCGAUUCUUUUAUACAAACAAGUUUUUGUUUUUUAUCUUUAAAAAUUAUUUUUGAAAACAAUUGGCCAAACAAUUUUUCUUUUUAAAAAAUACUAAAAAUGCCAUUUUUUAUUCUUUAUCUUAAAAAUAAUUUUUUAAAUUAAAAAACACAAUCAAACACCUUAUUUUGUUUUUAUUUUUGGUGUCUGGUUGCAUAAUUUUCCCAUUUUUUAAAACUGAAUUUCAAGCAAGCUCUUAAUUAUGUAAUUAAAAACUUGUUUGGUAGUAAUUUUAAGAAGCGAUUAUAAUAUUCCUAACACUUAAAAAAAAAAUUAUUUUUCAAGUAUACAACGUAGAAAUACUUGUGAGGAUCACUGCUACACAUGCUCUAUGUAGACAUAUCCCACUUCUAAGUUCUAACUCUUCAACGUCUGAACUCUUUUGAUGAAAUCCACACUCAAACCACCCAAAUCCAAGUCCCAAAUGCAGCCACUGCUUCAUCCAGGUCUGCUUCAUUCUCAUUUCAUCACUUCCUUUUUCUAUUAAUUAUUUUAUGAUUGUCCUUUUUGUUUCUUUUGUAUGAAUCCUAAGUGUCUUAUUGUUUUCCAUGGGCAGAAAAUACUUCCAUGAGAAAUUCUUCCCCAGAAAAUUUCCCCAACCUUGUCUGGUAAUAUACCCAUGUUUUUUUCCUAAUCUUUUGCGUCAAGCUUGGAAACUUCUGCUUCUGUCUUGUGCCCCUUAUGAUGGGUUUUGGAGUCAAAAUAAGAGACGUAAUGAUGAAUUCCAGAUAAUCCAUAUCUUAAAGUGAGAAAAUAUUCAAAAAAGAAUUUGUUGUGUUGAGAGGGAUUGCUUGAGAAGUUCAGGAUUAGGGAAUUAUUUUAUCUCAGUAUGGUUUAGAAUUCCAGUUUGGCAAAUUCAGGAUUCAGGACUGGCUUUGGGCUCAAAAUGAUUUGGGGUUUCUACUCAGAAACAUCCAAAAUUGAACUAUUUGACAAAUUUGGGGUGUGGGAGCUGUUCCUUUGUGGGAUAUUUGUGAAUGAUUAUGGAAUUGCUGAACUGUAUUACAUAAAUUCAAAUUUUAUUUGCUUGAUGGGGAAUUGGCCUGGGAAAAGAUAGCUGAUCACAUUAUCCCACCUUUGAUAUCAGCUGUUGCUUUGAUUCUCAAACUUUUAAAUGGAGAAAUGACUGUUGUAGAGAAGAAUAAAGGGAUAAGGUUUUGUUUGGUGGACUUGUUUUCCAUGUUUCUUCUCCUCUAAAGGUUAGGGGUGAAAGCAACUUAUAGUUGAUGGUUGUCUUCAGAAAUAAGCUGAUCAUAUCAUAGCUGACCGAUUUCUUCUUUGGCCAUCUUGAAGCAAUUUUAGUAUUUAUUUUAUAAGCUGAUUUUGGUGUCCAAGAAAUUAUUCUUAACAUAAUUAUUUUUUUUUUAAAAUAUCAAUUAUAUUUGAUUGGUAUUAUCAAUUAUGCUUUGCGGACCAAGCAUGACUCAUCUUAUUUGGGCCUCCCACUACUUUAAUCCUACACAGAUGACACAUUUUUAUUAAGAUCCAGAUCCUAUUAUCAUGGACUGGGCAAUGGAGGCUCAGAUCCGGCCGUAAUCAGACAAGCUGCUGGGCCGCCAUGGCUGCAACUACGGUUGCCUGUAAAAUGAAACCCAUUUCACAGAUCAUCCGGGUUGCCCCACCAAGAAACGAGCCCUUCAUAAUCUCUGAUUUACUUGAAAAGUAUCAUCAUAUCCCCUCGAUUUUCUCAUUGGGAACCAAACAGAUCGAGGACCCUUUGAAGGACCCUAAAUACAUCCAACCAAACAAUCAUAAAUAAAUAAAUAAAGAUGGACAUCACGGGUCCAGGGAGGGCUCAGAUCCGCCUGUAAUCAGACAAGAUCCAUGUUCGCCAUGGCUGCAACUACAGUUGCAUGUGAAAAAAAGGGCAUAGAAACCCAUUUCACACAGUCCGGGUCGCCCUUGGAAAGUGUCAUCACAGCCACUUAAUUUUCCUGCACAUUUUCUCAGCAACCAAAUAGAUACAGAUCCUUCUCAGAAAACACAUUUUAAAACACAAACAAAUAAACCAAAACAAAACAAAGACCAGACUCAGCGCGGAAGUGCAUAGCGCGUAAAAGGAAGGCUCAGAUUCGCCUUUUAUCAGACAAGAAAAAGAUGACCGUCCUGGCUGCAACCACAGUUGCUUGUGAAACAAGGCACAAAAGGUCGCCCAAACCAUCCGGGUUGCCCCGCCAAGAAACGGACAUUCCCAGUGCCUGACUUACUCUGAAAACGUCAUCACAGCCUUUUAUGUUGCCCAUAUGAACAGAGAGAGAGCGCUGUUGAUUUUCCAGAGAAUCAAGACAGCCUCUGAUGUACAUGUACACACGUGUAUGAGAAGCCCUUUUCUGAAGUUCCCAAUAUUUCCUACCAGUCCAGCCCGCGCACAGGAUACAAAUUUUUUUUAAAACAUAUGAUGUUAUUUGGUAAUCUGAUCAUGAUUUGCAGGCAAAGGUCGUGUUUUCCAGCCUGGCUCAAAAAUCGUGGAUUUAGGGUUCGUGAAAUUUAAAUCCAAUAGCACAAAAGCAAAGAGACCCCUAGAACAGAUCCAGAAAACACAGGGAGCAAAGAAAAAAACAAUUUUUUUGGUUUUCGUGGGGGGUUUUGCAUGGAUUUUCUCGGAAAUCAAACGAGGAUGAAUUUUCCCGGAAAUCGAAAGGGGGAUGGAUUUUCUUGAGAAUCAAACGGGGGUUGCAAAAAAAUAAUAAUAAUAACAUGAUUAGAUUAGUACCUGCGAGGAUUGAGAGUGGCAGAGGAAAAUAGGGCCUUUUUAGGGAUUCUCUCGUCCGGAGGGCAACUUCAGAAAAGGACUUCUUGAUGCCCGAGUGAGAGAAGUGGAUGGCCCUUU